rnacentral:lncRNA from 1 species
UUUCAAUUAAUAAGCAUGCCAAUUGUGUUCACCAAAUGGGACAGUAGCCCAGAAUGUUCAAAUUGAUGGACAAAAGAUAAACAUAGCAUAGUAGAACAAAGCAAGAUAGCAACAUAAUCCAAAAGUGCAUCCAAAAGUGAAUUACAUGUCUAAAAAAAUGACAUUAAGAAAACAUAGAUAGCAUCACAACAUCCUUAAUUAUUUUAGAAAUAAUGCUAAAUUUGAUAAACAGGACCACUUGAACCGAGAAUGACCGAUGAACACAGUUUUGUAUGGAGAACCAACAUCGGAGGCGGCCGAAUGUAGAUUAUCUUAUUGUUGGCAACAUCUGUCACACCAAACUUAACUAAUGUACCUUCAUUAAACUUAUGUGCCUGGAAAAUAUUGAUCCACUGCCCAUAAAUAAUGCAUGACAUGUCCUUAUCGCCACUGAAUUUCGACCAACAUUUCCAGAUAUACCCUAGGUAAUCAACAAAAGUUAACUCUGUCUUCAGCAGGCAAUGAGGAUUGACAAAAUCCAAGCCAAUACAACUCCUGCUUAGGUUUAAUACAAUGCAUUCAAAAUCAUAAAAUUUGGUGGAUACUUUACUAUUCAUUUUUGUAUUGAGAGCUUGAUUUUGUAUGAAUUAUCUUUAUAUAAUAAUCAUUAUAUUAAAACCUUAGGCUAUCCAGGAGAUAGAUAGUCCUAAUUCUACGUGAAACAUCGUUAAAUCUGACCAAUAAUCUUAAAAUAAUAACAUGUAUCACAUCAAAGAAAAAGUAAAUAUAAGAAGUAAUUACCAAUUCACUUAAAAGCUAUUAUUUGCCUGUUUCUAUGGUGUUUAAUUAUCACAUGUAUUUUUUCCACCCUCUAUUUAGUUUUGUUGCAUAUAUAGGAACUAUAGCAUUGUAACCAUUUGAAUUAAUUGACACAUGUAUUGUUUUUUCAAUAUUCUAGCUGCAAUUGCAUAUGGAUAAUAAAUUUCAUAUUUUCAAGCAAUCAUGAUUUGGAGACUUAUUUGGUUGGAAUAUGUAUAAUUGGUGUCUAUGAGAUGCCUUCCUUCUUCUGCCAUUAAUAUCAAGUUAAGGGACUAUGGUUACAUGCAGCUGCUGAAGAAAAAAUGGAUCUUAUGCCAUAAUGACGUUGUAGGUAAUGUAUAAGGGACUAUGGUUUGACUUGGAAAUUCUAGCUGGGUUGUAAUUUUUUUAAUAGAAUGAAAAUUGUUGUUUCUCUCAGUAUCACUAAUACUUAGUUUUUGUAAUAAAAAAAUUGUUUCACCAAAAAAAUAGGCUUAAUUGCACUUUUGAAUUCCUAUCUUUUCAAAAGUUACAGUUAUGGACCUCUAACUAAUUUAAAUACAAAACAGCCCCCUAUGUUUUGAUUCUUUGGCGGUUUUGGACCCUCAGUCCAUUGUUGACUCGGUCAACGCUGACGUGGCACCCUAAGUGAUGUGCCACGUGUCAAAUUUUUUAUUUUAUUUUUUGCCUUGGGGGUCCAAAACUGCCAAAGAAUCAAAACAUAUGGGGCUGUUUUGUAUUUAAAUUAGUUAGGGGUCCAUAACCGCAACUUUUGAAAAGAUAGAGGUCCAAAAGUGCAAUUAAGCGAGAAAAAUAAGAUGACUAGAAUUGAGGCAUAGCUUUUACGUUGAGUCAUUACCUGUGAAUCAACUAAAUCAUUACAUUGAGUAGUUCCAUGUGAAUCAAUUAGAUCAUUAAUGAAUUUUAGCUAUAUAAAAAAAUUUAUAUUUCUAUUUGUUUAUUCCUUUUAUAUAUCUUUUCCAUAUGUACUUUUUUUGAAUGAAGUGAGAUGAAGAACACAUCGUUCGUAAAAAAAAAGCAGCACAUUGAAAAUGUAGAGAGUAAAAAAUAAGAAGAAAAAUUCUUAUUUACCCAUCAAUAAAAUACGGAUUUAUCCAUGUGAGUUGACACCAAUAAAAAUCAUUCAUUUAUGUUAAUGAAAAACAUAAUAAUUUUGAAUAUUGUUAAAUCAAAUGGAUAAAUUCACCUUUUGUUAAGGGAUAAUAUAGGUAUUAACAUAUAAGAAUAUAGGAGUGAGAGAGACAUUCUGUAAAAAAAAAAGUGAGAGCGGCUUUGUUGUUUGAUAGAUGAGGGGAAAUGAAUAAAAUAAGUUUCUGAAUUUUUUCUAGAGAAAAAAAAGUUUAUUAGCAUUAAAAGAUGUUGAAGGCUCACGAAAAUAAAGUAGUUGAGUAGAGAGACAAUGCGUAAAAACUCUAAAAUAAGUGGGAUUAUAUAACAUUUGUGAAGUCUCGAUACUUUAAAAUGGUUGGCGUAUCGUAUCCCCUGCAUAUCCUGCACCGAUAUCUGCCCGAUACUUUCCGAUACGUAUCGAGAGAGUAUCCAAAUAUUAAAUGGACAAUAAAGUAGUUGAACAGAGAGACAAUGCAUAAAAACUCAAAACUUUUUAGAUUAAAUAAUAAUUUUCACUUGUGUAAAAAUAUUCAUUAUUUAAUUUAAUUUUUUACUUCCACUUGCAAAUUCUAAUGUAAAUUUAUUUUGAGUAAGACGAUAUAUGUUGGCGUUUUCUUGAACUUGUCAACCUAGUUAAGAUGUCUAAAUCUCCCCUUAAUGCAUGUGAUUUCUCUUAGAUCUUUGACAAAAAGAUUAAAUUUAUUAUUUAACUAUUAAUCAUCUACUCCUAUAAUUUUUUUUUACUAAUACUUCGUUUCCUUAAAAAAAGAAAAAAAUGGGCUGAAAGACAACCACAAAAUCAAUAUAUUAAUAACAUUUUUCUUGUAUAUACUUGUCAAUAAAAAAAAAAAAUUCUUGUAUUAUAUUAAUAAACUUUAGGACACAUUAUGUUAGAAAUUGUGUCAAUUUAUUUAUCAAAAAGUUGAAACUAAGUUUUAUCAAUAAAUAUUUGCUAUGCGUGAAAAUCUUAACAUAUACCCUUAGGGAAUACGUCUUCUGGUCACGUCUAUAAGAAAAAAAUAUAACUUUUUAGAUUAAAUAACUACUUACUCUCAAUAUUUAAUGGCAAGAAUAUUUUAUCAAGAAUAACUACUUAAAAAAGAACUUAAUAUUCUUAUUAAAUAAUUAUGAGGAGUGAUAUAUUGACUCUAAUAGCAAGUGUAUAGUCUUACUCCAAAUCCUUGCCAUCAAUUCUUUUUAAUCUAAUGGUUUAAAGCAUUGCUUUAUUCGCUCAUUCCGUCAACAUCCCGUAGGCUUUCUUCCUCCUAAAAACAUUUUUUUAUUUUUUAAUUCCCAAAAUAUUGAAGGAAAGCCCGUUUCCAAACUGCAUUUCAUGAUUAGUAAUCUUGGAAUGACUUCAAUUUUUUCGUUCUUUUUCAAACUUUGAUAAAUCUCAAAAAGUCUAUUCCAGCGUUUACAUUAUAAUUGAAAUACUGAGAAAUCUUCAAAUAACAAUUAAAUUAAAUGUGAGAAUUAGGGUAGCAAUUGUAAUAGAUUGGUUGAUCGUAGCAAUUGAUUAAGAACGAAUGAAUUGGUUGAGUGUGGUACAUAUUUGGAAAGAUUGAAAUAGAUUAACAAUAAUUGAUCGGAAAGGUUGAAAUAGAUAACAACAAUAAAAUUUUAAGAAAUAAAUUGGUUGAUUGAAACAAUUGAAAUUCAACACUGAAUCGAUCAGAAAGAUAUAUUUGUGAAACGACAUUAAUCUCCAUUGUUUAGUAGCAGUGGCGGAGCCACUUGGGGACAGGGGCUGGCCAUAGCCUACCCAUUAAUUACUGGAAAUUACUAUUUUACGCUUGCCUUGACAUAAAAAUUACAAUCAUGCUACAAUCAAUUUUUUCCCCCUAAAACACGUAAACUUUUCUCCUCCCUAGAUGUGAUUGCGACACUGCUUUCCUCCAUUCCAUGUAUUUGAAACUGUUUUAUUAAACCAUAUAAAUUGGUUAAAAGUGCUUCAUUAACACAGUUAGAAAUAUCUUAAAUUGGUUGCUACUAGAUACAAACUGUAAUUAUGAGUUAUAUUAUAUAUAUCAUUAUGAUAAAUUUGUUUUUGUUUCUUUGCAUCGGAAAAGUUAGGACAAAGAGUUGAAGAAUUGAUUCCUUUUUUAAGAGGAAGGUCGAUGACAUCGAAAGAGAUAAAUAAGUUAUAAUUUCUUCAUCCGAACCUGAACCCAAUAAAUGAAGAAAACGAGUACCGUCCUUCAAAGCUUAAUAGAGUAAACCCGGAUGACUUUGAGAAUUCUUUAGGACGUGAUCUUGGAAAGUGUAUUCUAAUUUGGCAAUAUCCACCAAAUCAAACGAAUGCAAUACGAAGAGCGCAUCUAAAAUGGAGUCCUUAUCAAAUGCAUUUAGAAAAUUAUCCCUUGUUCGACAACGAUGUUUGAGGUAGGAACAAUAUUACAUCAACACUCAUUUGAGUUUAGUUUGAUGCGGCCAUCCCAAAAAAAUUUGUCUGGCUCCUGUAACGCCCUGUUUAUUUAUUAGAUUAUUUUAUUAAGUUUAAGAGUCUAUUUUUAGUGAUUAUGUGAUUUAAAAGAUUAUGUGGUGUGUCGUUAUUUUAUUAAGUAGUGUUAUUUUAUUAUUUAAUAGAAUAAGAUUUGAAAAUAAAAUAAGAUUAAGUUGUGGGGGCUGUUUUGAGAAUUUAGAGAGUUUAGUGGAAUAAGUGGAAAUAAGAUAAAGAGGGCUGAGGGAAUAAAUAGGAGAAAACCUAAGUCAGAAUAGUUUUCACGUGAAACAAAACGUUUUGGAGAAAAGGGGAGAAAACAAGCCUUUGGGAGAAAAACCAAGAGAAAGCUAGGAGAAGAGCCAAGUGAAGAACCGGAGAGAUCGUAGAGCUUCGUUCAUCUGAAUUAAGGUAAGGGUGAGGCUAACUCUCAAUAAUCAUAGUGUAUGUAAACUCUGAAAUUGAUUUAACAUGUAGUUGUUCAUGAAUUUGGGAAUUAGGGUUAGAAUGUAGAAUUGAAUUGUGGAAAGAAAUAGAUAAUCUGAUGGAUUAGGGUGAUAAAGGAUGUUUAGAUUGUAGAUUAAUCAGAGACUAAGUUUCCAAUCAGUAUUGGGGUUUGGGUUGAUGGAAAUUGGGAUUUUCGUUUGAAAAAUAGGUGUCUAAACGUUUUGCAAAUAAGAGAUUAUGUGAGGUUUGGGAAAUCGAUUUUUGGGCGGUUGAAACUUGAAUCUUUCUGUAGAUUAUGAUAGAGUUAAGUGUCAUGAGCGUGUAGGCGAAAACGGCAUCGAAAACGGGAUAACAGUUUGAAUUUUAUGCGCGAAAACGUGAAAAUUAGAAAAUCUGAUGUUGUAUAUAUAUAUAUGUAUUUUUUUAAGGAAAUGCUUUAUAUUUUGCUAUAACUAACCUGCCGUACACCACACAAAAAAUAACUAGCCUAUUUUUUUUUUAAAGGAAAAUAUAACUAGUCUUUUGUACGUUGUAAAAUUUUAUAUGUUCUAGCUCACUUUUUGUUUCCACCUUUCUCUUAAUUUUGGGAUACAUAAAGCAGAGAUCAAAAUUGUCGGUGAUUUUUUUUUUUUAGGAUUAAAGGUCGAAGAAUUUUUUUAUGGAGACUAAGACCAAAAGUUUGAAUAUUUAUAGGGACCAAAAACAUAUUUAACUAUAAUUAAAAAUAUUAAAAAAUAAAUACAUUACAAAAAAAUGUGUGUCUAUAUGUAUAUUAAAAAAAAAAGUCAUUUUAUGUCAUUUUAUACUUAUCAACCACUUCAACGGCUAAUUUUACCAAAAACAUUAUUUUUAAUAAGCAAGCUUUUCAGCUAUAAACUAUCAGCUAUCAGUCAUCAGCUAACUUUUCAGCUAUCAGCUAGCUUAUAACUUAUUUUUACCAAACAGAGCCUAGGUGUGGAAUUUUUUAGGCGGAAGGAGCAAAUAAUUAAUUAAGACUGUUGGAUUAAAACAAAAUGGAUGGCAAUGAUUUGGAGUAAGUCUAUUGACUUACUCUUGAAGUCAAUAUAUCCCUCCUAUAUAUAUAUAUAUAUAUAUAUAUAUAUAUAUAUAUAUAUAUAUAUAUAUAUAUAUAUAUAUGUCAUAUCAAGUGAGAGGACAUCUUAUAAUGAGAGAUGAGAGGAUUGAUUAAGAAAGAGGAUCUUUGACCCGUAGUAAAGACAAUAAGUGAUCUUUGACCCGUGUAGGUCUAUAAAAAAACACAAAUGACAAUAAAUUCAACACUUGCUAAAAUGAAUCUUAUUUUUAGAGGAAUAAAAAACUUUUUUUUUUUAAAGCGUGAAAAGACUAAUUUUAACUAUAUAUAAAAAAAAAUAACUAUUUUAUAAAUGGAGAAGUGAUGGUUGACCUCUACUAAAUAUCGUAUUCAUUAAUAAUAAGUUUAACCCAUAACCCAACAUUUGGGUUCAAAUUGCAAGUCGUAUGAUGCAUAUAUGCCCAAAUCUCAAUUGCACCUUUCACAUUAUUCAAAUAGAUGUAAAUGAAUAGGCAUCAACUACUUACAUCAAAAUAUGGCUGCAAGUUCUACACGUGAAUAAUGCAUCAAACCCCACUACUUUACAGUCCAAAUUUACAAACUAUACUUCAAAUCAAAUGCAUGGCCUAUGGCUAUGUGACUAUCGUCAUGCCAUCAAGUGAUCAAAAUCUUUUUCAGAUAGAAGUAUACAUCCUCUCCCUCCCCCGAUUCACAAUGGCGUUUAGCAAAAAAAUAAAAUAAAUGGAGUAAUACAAUAACUUAUAUAUUCUCUUCAAAUAUUCAGUAUCACUAUCUAUACAUGAUCAUCCAUCUUUACACAUUUUAGCCAAGUAAGAAAUUUCAUAUAACAAUAUAAUCAUAAAAAGGAAAAUAAGCAAGAUAAAUACUCAAUUUAGAUCGAAAUGUUUCCUAACUAAUCAGUGAAAAGACUCAAAUGUUUAGGAAAAAGAGCAGCAUUGCUUCAAGUUUUUUUUUAAAAAAAAUCAUAGCCUAACGCAUAAACCACAAACAAAUAUAAUAUGAAGUGAUCUUUUGAUCCCUUUAAUCACAAACAAAUCAGACUAAAUUUACAAAUGCCUCACUUCCUUAAAUUUGUUAUAUAAAUAUCACAUAUAAAUGAUGAGUUAGUAACAUGUGUUUUAGGGGACCCAUGAUGCUGAAUACUUUAUACAACAACUUUUAGAUUAAAAACAUGUAGUGGUAAAGAAUGAAACUCCAGCUUGAGAAUCAUUAUAUUCUUGAAAUGGAAAGGAAUGGAUAAACACAUCAAAAUGAGAUGAAAAUGUGAUCUUAAAACAUAGCAGAUAGGGGAACAUUAUUUUAGCUUGAGCAUUUCUAUCAACUUUAGUUUUCCACUUGUCAUAAAGGUCAUGAUGCAAUAAUACAUUUGAACAACUUUAGUUUUCCACUUGAUGCAAUAAUACAUUUGAACAACUUUAGUUUUCCACUUGUCAUAAAGGUCAUGAUCAAUUACCUUAACUCAUACCAUGAAUUAUUUAUCCAUAUUUUGACUUAACCUAGAAAGAUAAUCAUCACUACUACUAAUAAACAGAGUAAAGUUGAAAUGAUUAGUAACAUGGGAAGUUAAAUAAUGAUAUUAGUAACAUAGCAUUGCUUCCAAAACAGUGGAUUUCAAAACAGUUUUGAAAGACAAACUCAGUCAAAAAAUUCAAGUAGAAAAAGAGUAAUAAAGUGAGAAAAAAAAUGUUGAUAUACAAAUCUAAACAUGUUUAUCUUAAAUAUCCAAAAAAACAAACCUGUUUUUGGAAACACAACCCAAAAACAGAGGCAGUUGAGGAGCAUCAUUUAAACACGUUUGAGAUAUAGAAGGUCAGAUUAAUGGCUUAGAAAUAGGUGUGAAUUACAAAGUGAAAUGCUGAUUAUGAUUAGCACUUAGAAGGAGUUAAUGCUAACACAAUGGAGGGAAAAAUUAGGUUAAGAUUAGGGUAAACAAUAGCUUGAUCAGACAAGCUUUAGAAAGAAAGAAGUAUGAUAAGUAUGAUAUGAUUUAAUUUUAGAACGAAAAACAUAGAGAUCACAUGUUGAAUGACGUAGAUGAAAAAGUUUGAUGUUAUUGAAAUAAAAAUGGUAACUGAUUGUAAUAAAAAACCUACCAAUGAAGCAUGCAUUACCCAACGAUGAAUUGGAGGUAAUUUAUCCCUAAUGACAACUAUGAUUUGAUUCUAAAACGAAAGGGAUGAAGAUCACAUGUUGAAUGAAGGAUAUGAAGAAGUUUAUUGUUUUUGAGAUGAAAAUGGUGACUCAUUGAAAUAGUAAAGAUUAAGAAAAUGAGUUUUUUCUUUGAUUGAGGUAUAUUACCCCUAAUUUAUCGACGGCUAACGUAAAAAAAAACCUAGUUUAUGCCAUAUUAUUAUUUAAUAAAGUUUUUAUUGCCGUUUUCAAACCAAAAAUAAUAGGCAAAUUCUAUGGUACACUUAAAAAUUUAUUUUUUUGUAGGAAAAAAUAAUUUUCUAUCACCUGUAAUUAUAGUAACUAAAUCUUAUUUACCAAAAACGUCAACGCAAUAAAAUUUAAUUUUUCUGAAUUUUUAUUCCUCAUAAUAGAGAAUUUUGAUCAUUUUUUACAAUAAAAUUUAAAAAAAUUAGUAUGAUUUUUAUAAAAAAUGAAAUGAUAAUUUUUCUUAUGAAAUGAUAUUUUCUAAACUAUAAAUGUCAACAAACAACUAUUUUUUUCACAAAAAAUGAUAGUUAAUUUAUAAAUUUUUUAAACAAGAGUGCCGGUACAUCUUAAUUUGCAAGUGUACCGUAGAAGUUCCCAAGAUAAUAAUGUCCAAACCUAAGAUACAAUCAACCACAACCACAUAUGAACUGUGUGAUUAAUUUUGUGCACAAAAUUGUACCGUGUGCAUCUGUGGUGGACUCUACAACGUAAUGGAAUUCUCAAUACACACUUUCCGGCCAAUUUCUCAAGUCUUUUUAAGUCAAGUCAACUACCGUAAUGAACACACCCAAUGGACAAAAUUACUAUAGAAUUCCACAUGUUACAUAAUAUAAUACAUUUCAUAUUCAUUCAUUCAUUCUUAUUCUGCUUAAUUCAUCCUAAAUUUUUUUAAUGUCUUCUUCCAACUUUGUGUUCUGUUUCCUUUUCUUAUUCUCUAAUCUUCCACUUCUUCUCUCUGCUGCACCUGAAUGUGAAAAAGGAAUCACUUUGUGUGGAUAUCUUGGAGAAAUCUCCUCCCCUUUCACCACCGUUAAUGACUCAGAAUGUGGCUAUUACAUAUCUGGUUGUGACAACAGCAGUUUAGUGAAAACAAUUCAACUCAGAGACCAAACCUAUAUAAUUGAUAGCAUGUAUUAUAUGAACAAUUCAAUUAUCAUCUAUAGCCCAAACUCUCAUAAAUUAAAUUUAGAAUCAUUUAAGAAUAGGCCAAUAUUCAGCAUUAACACUAUUAACUUCCACCGAUGCAAUCAUCACCGUGAGCACAUGUUCAAAUAUAGAAACUGUUCCGAUUACGAUAUCUACUUCACUUCUAUACCUGAUUAUCCCAUGUUCCCUAUUUUUCCAUUUCCAUGUUUACCAAACUUUGUCCCUCACGAUUGUGCAGAAAUAUUAUUUUCAAUACUCGAAAUUAAAGUAGAUUUAGAGUUUUCCAAAAAUGAAGUAGAUUUGAAGUUUUGUGAAGAGUGCCAUAGUAAAGGAGACUUAUGUCUUCCAGAUCAGAAAACUUUGAAGUGGAAUUGUGUCCCUGGUAAAUACAUUAAUCUGAUGCUUAUUCCUUAGUUGUAUUAUACAAGAUUGUAUGAUUUAAUAUGCUACAUAUAAUGUAUACUCAUUUUUUUUCUUCAGAUUUAAGCUAUGUAGCACCAACACCUCAGCCUCAGAUUGAAUACCAUUCCGAUAUUCAUACAAAGAGAAAGGAACAGCAUUUGAUGCUUGCGGUAAUAGGUACUGUAUUUUUUCCUUACCAUCAAGCAUUCAUCUUGGUACAUACCUAAAUGCAUGAAGUACUGUCCUUAUAAUCUCUGAUUGUAAAUUUACAAACACAGUGUCUUGUUUGUUAGUAAUUUUAUUUUAUUGACCAAAUUGACUAACCGAUGACACAUCCGAAUCCGAUGUCUAAACAAACUAAUUACAAAACACAUUUGUUGACUAAAUUUACAAACAAAAAACAUAAUUAGAUAUAUUUUAGUAAUUUUGAGGAUAAAUUCAAGUAUCGAUCUUCACACAAUUAGAAACAAGAAUGACUAUAUAUUUGCUACCUUACUAAAAUAAAAUGGGUUUCUUUUGUUUUUACGAAGAUUCUUAUAAAUUUAUUCGCAAUAAACAAAAAUACUUGAUGUACUUGUGGAUGUUACUGAGUGCAUAUAGAUUGAUCUAGCUUUCUAUCUUUGACGACACAGGUUUAUCUAUUGGAUUGGCAACUAUGAUUGUUUUUAUUGGUCUGUACUGUUGGAGAAUCAAAUCUUUUGGUGUCAAAAACAUAUCAAGAACCAAUUAUCAAGGUAUCUCAAGAAAUACAACAUUCCCAGAAGGUGGAGCUGUCUACUUUGGAAUUCCUGUCUUCUCUUACGAAGAGCUCAAAGAGGCAACGAACGAUUUUGAUAAAGCUCGAGAGCUUGGAGAAGGAGGCUUUGGGACUAUUUACUAUGGUAAGGGGGGGGGGGGGUUCUUGAACCCUUUUGUCUUCGAAGAAUUCUGCCAGUUUUCCAUGAGAUACAUGUGUCUAGGACAAAUUUAUUUUUAUCUUGUAUGUUUUGUAAUUGUUGUUGUGCAGCAAUGGCUAUAUAGUCUAUGCAAGGUUUUAAAUCGCAGUUGAGAUCGCUUUGCAAUAUAUUGGAGAGAAUUGCAGUCAAAUCCGGUCACAAAGACAUUAAAAACUUUGCUGUCGCAUACUUUGUCAAAAUCACGAGUCUAUCAUGGUCUAGCCUUAUUUAUUAAAGGAUUUAUUGUCUGACCAAUAUAGGUUGUUGAUCAUAAUAUAGGCUAAUCUCCAUCCAUCAGAUUACAUAUAUCUUUUAACUUUUUCAAGCAAACCAGUCUAGCUUUGCUUUAAAAAUGAGAUGCUGAUGUUAGUUUUUCUCUAUGAUUUUGGCCACUCUUUAAUGUCAGUUAUGUACAAAAGAUCCUAAAUUGAAGUUAAACAUGUCUUGUUGAGUAAUAUCAAUUUUGAUUCUUUAACAACCAGGAAAGCUUGUAGAUGGACGUGAAGUUGCAGUGAAGCGCCUAUUCGAGCGCAACUACAGACCAGUAGAAUCAUUCACAAAUGAAAUUCAGAUUCUCACACGCAUGCGCCACAGGAAUCUUGUAUCCCUUUAUGGCUGCACUUCACGCCAUAGCCGUGAGUUGCUGUUAGUCUACGAAUACAUCCCAAACGGAACAGUUAGUAGCCAUCUCCACGACAACAAAGCUGACCAAAGCUCAUCAUUACCAUGGUCAGUGAGAAUGAAAAUAGCCAUAGAAACCGCCAGUGCAUUAACUUAUCUUCAUGCCUCUGAUGUCAUUCACCGAGACGUGAAAACCACCAACAUUCUCCUUGACAACAAUUUCUGUGUUAAGGUUGCUGAUUUUGGUCUUUCAAGACUAUACCCUAAUGAUGUCACACACGUCUCCACAGCGCCGAGAGGAACACCAGGCUAUGUUGAUCCAGAAUAUCGUUUAUGCUACCAGCUAACAAACAAGAGCGAUGUAUAUAGCUUCGGCGUUGUUCUUGUUGAGCUAAUAUCAUCUUUGCCAGCAGUUGAUUUGACAAGGGAUAGAGAUGACAUUAAGUUGGCAAAUCUAGCCAUAAGGAAGAUUCGAAGAAGCGAAUUUUGUGACUUGAUUGAUCCUUCUCUUGGUUUUCAGACAGAUAAGAGAUUAAAAAAUGUGAUAACUUCUGUUGCGGAAUUGGCUUUUCGGUGUUUGCAAGAGGAGAAGGAAUUGAGACCCACUAUGUCUGAAGUGUUGGAGGUGCUGCAGACAAUUGAAAGCAGGAAGGAUGAGGCAGGGAAUCACGAGGGGAUUGAUUUUCAUCCUGAAGUAGGAGUAGCACAAAGUUAUGUACAUCCAUCAGUUCCUAACACUUGGAUGACGCCACGACGCCAUCGACAAACACUUUGAUGAAAAUGGUAUUAAGAUUGAUGCAUCAAAUAUACCAGUGACUAGACAGUUAGUCUUCGAUCUCAAGCAUUUGUACAUGCUUAUGCUCGUUGAGAGGUUCAUAAAUUCUAUAUAUAAGCAUAUAAUUCUAGUGACAGAUGAUAUUUGUUUGUUGAAUAUGAUUGUAUUAUAAAAACAUGGAAGUUAGGAUUUUUAUGUUUUCAAUCCAAAAGAUAAAUAUUAUGCCUCUUUAUACAUGAAGGUCUAAAAUGAAGUGUGCUUUGUUUUCCAAAAGGUUCUAUACUGCUGUUGAAAGUGAGCCUUGUCAAUACUGUUAUACCGGUAAGCUCUUUUCCAUUCAUGAAAUAUCAACACUGCUAUUGACAAACUGUUAUUGACAAGUUACGUAAGUUGUUAGUUCAAGUCAUUAUAGAAUUUGGCGUGGCUACGUGAAAUAUAGGUUCAGAAAUCCUUAUUCCAAUGGUGUUUCAGCCAAUUUCUUGGUGUGUUCGGUUCAGAUUUCUUUGUAAAAGACGACGGAAUCCAUAAUUUCUCCAUUCUUCAACUCUUUUCCGUUUCUCGAAGGCGUGCCCAUCGAAGUUUUUGCUUCCAUUAGGUUCUGUCAAUCUGAAAUCCAAGCCAGCGAUAAAGAAAUCUUUCUCACAAGCUCUAUUAACAAUGUGUGAUUUGCAUCUUAGCCAAUUUCGGACGAAAUCCGUCGAAUGCAACGCCAUUGCUGAAAAUGAUAUCAUUUCUAACUCUCCAAAUCUCAUUUAUCCAACAAUCAAAAUACACAAACAAAUUUGGAGACAUAAUUAAGUUAAACUCUACCACCGCAUUAUCUUUGACCACACUGAAGAAACCACUUGACACAAUAGAGGAAUAAAUGAGUAAAUGUUUCUUCCUCACUACAACAAACUUUGAGGAGGAAUAUUGGCAGAAACCAUAACAAACUACCUAGUGUUGAUUUUUGUGCACACCAGUAUAUGAAUUGUUCUGCAUUUUUGCUUUAUUUUGAGACCAAAUAUACCUGAAGGCUAAAGUGUCGUGAUUACAAAGUAAAUAUCCAAGAAAAGCUAAAGGAUUAAGUCACCACAUGUAAUAAGUAGAAGCGAAAUUAAUUCGAUUUGCAGCCACCAGUAAGAUUUUGACGGUACAUUGACAGAUAAAAGAAUUUUGAUACAAAUUUUGGGAAUUUUGAUGCAAUUGUCUUCUUAAUCAACAAAUUAAUGAUUAUUUUUAUUACGCAAAUUGCUAUUUGUGAACUCUACUUUAAGAAACAACAUUUUAAGAAAAAUAAAUUAGUGACUUAGAGCAGCAACAUCCUUUUGGUGUGUUUCCUCCUUCAUGGCAGCGUCCUUCUCGAGGUAGAUUCAAGUGCAACAUUGAUGCCGCUUUUUUAAACAAACAGAAUGUCAUAUGUUUGGGCAUGUGUAUCUGCGAUGAAGGGGGAGUUUUUGGGCUUGCUAAGGUUAUUCCAUUGCCGGUUAUGCAUAACGUUAUUGUAGGGGAAGCUAUGGGUCUCUACCAUGCUUUAGAAUGGCUAAGUGAUAUGAGAUUUGAUAAUGUCGAUUUUGCAUUGGAUUCAAAAUCUACAAUGGAUGCCUUCAUCAAUCCUCGCCCGGAUAUUUCUGAGUUUGGUCUCAUUAUUUCUGCGUGUAGAAGUCUUUUCAACCUGAAGUUCACAAACUCAAAUAUCAAGUUUAAUUGAAGACAAGCGAAUGAUGUAGCUCACGCGUUCGUUGGGCUACCAAAUUAUUAGCUAGUUCCACCACUUAUUCUUACGUACCUCGUUGUAUUGAACAUCUGAUUAUUAAUGAUUUUUUUUUUUUUUUUUUUUGAGAGAAAGGUGCCUAUAGCAUUUCAUUAAUAAUAAUGGAUUCAAUACAACUUGGGAUAACAUAAUAAAUAGUGGGACUAGCUAAGGAAAUGGCUUCUCGUGCCAACACAUGAGCCGCCACAUUCGCUUGUCGCCUAGCGAACUCCACCCUGGAGUUUGUAAAAUGUACAUAGAACAUCUCCAUGCAAGCCUUCAUAAUGCUUCCAAAUUCUGUGUUGUCUGAAUGGUGUGAAUGGAAAGCAUCCUUAGUCACUUUCGAAUCAAGUUCAAACUCAACAUUAUUAAAUUGCAUAUCUUGCAUCCAUUGAAUAGCAUGAAACAGUCCCAACGCUUCUCCAACAUCCGCGGGGUAAAGAUAAUCAAAAUGCAUCACUUUGGCUAACACAAAAGUUCCGGAAUCAUCCCGUAAACAAAUCCCAAUACCUGUCCUUUGAAAUUGCUCCGAAAAGGCCGUGACCACGUUGCACUUAAACCUCCCAAUGCUUGGUAGCUGCCACUGCUGAACAACAGUGCUUAUACGGGCAGUCUGUUGCUGCAACACAGUCUGCUGGACCGUGACAGCAGCCCGCUGCUGGCCAGCAAUCUACUGAGAAACUUGCGGCUGAACUGUAGCAGAUUGCGCGUUCAGCUGCGGUGCAUUAGCCUCCUGCCAGUCGACAAUUAACCCUCGAGCUCUGUCAACAACAACAACACUAAUCUCAGUGACGUCCUCCCAAAUUUUAAGGGUUCUAUGCUUCCACAAACUCCAACAUAAAGUAGCAAAACGUUGAUUAAGUUGCACAUACAAGUUGCGAAGCAAAUAAAAAAUGGCCUCAACGGCAUAAUCAGUUUGCAUAGCUGCAUGUUGGACAUCAAACUACAUCCCAGAUGAGUUCCACACCUGAAUUGCAAAAGGGCAUUCAAAGAAAAUGUGGUUCAUGUCCUCAUGAUUAGAAUUGCAGCUAGCACACACCGUCAGACACGACACACCUUUGUCUUGCAAACGGACACGGGUAGGUAAACAACCCCUACACAUACACCAUAACAAAUGCUUAAUUUUUGGUGGAACCUUAAGCCGCCAAAUAUCCUUCCAAUUGCCCGGACGAUGAAGAUGAGAAACGUCGAUCAACUCUUCAACACAUAAUCUAUACGCACUCUUCACCGAGUAACAACCAUUCUUCUCCGCCUUCCAAAUCAAAUGAUCGUGCUGAACUUGUUCGAAAAGUGGCGUAUUCAAAAUACGAUCAGCCACAUCAUCGCUGAAAACCUUCCGUAUCAGAGGAAAAUUCCAGCUUUUGCGAUGGACAGACAUAAGGCUUUGAACCUUAAUAUCACGGACAUAAUGACUUCUGGUAAUGUUUCCAUCAAUACACUCACCGUGAGAGAGCCAAGGAGCAUAAAGAAUAGGUAUAUCCACACCAGAACCAAUAGUCCACCUAGCCCCGCCUCGCACGAUGAAAGGAGCGCUUAAGAUACUACGCCAAACAAAACUUGGAUUAUGACCAACGGUGGCGUCAAGAUAGGAUUUAGAAGGGAAGUACCGAGCUUUAAAAAUACGAGAAACCAGAGAUUGAGGUUCUGUUAGAAAUUUUCAUUCUUGCUUGCCCAACAUCGCAAGAUUGAAAGCUGAGAGGUCCUUGAAACCCAAACCCCUCUGAGUUUUAUGAAUCGAUAGUUUUUCCCAACUCAACCAAGUUAUACCUCUAUGAGUGGUUCUGCCAUGACCCCACCAAAAUGAAUUAAUCAUUCUGUCGAUAGAGGUAAUAAACGUGGACGAUAGUUGAAAAAGACUCAUAACAUAGGAAGGAAUGGCUUGGAGAACCGACUUGAUCGUAACUUCACGUCCUGCCUUAGAUAGGCACUUACUACUCCAAGAAUUAAUGUGAUGCCACACACGGUCCUUAAUAUAAGCAAAUGUGGAUGUCCUAUCUCUUCCAAUCAUAGACGGCAUUCCUAAAUACUUACCAGUGCCCAAGACAACUCUGACUGCUAAAAUGGUGGUGAUGUUCUUCUUUAACUCAUCGGACACAUUCCUACUAUAGAAAAUUUCUGACUUCGGCAAACUAAUUGCUUGACCAGACGCAACCUCAUACACAUUAAGAAUGUUCUUCAUAACUUGAGCCUGAUUUUCUUCCGCCUUAAAAAGGAGAAAGCAGUCGUCUACAAACAGAAGAUGAGAAACUAGGGGUGCCCCUCGACAAAUGCUAGUUCCAGAAAUGGUUUCACUCUCCUCAGCUUGUCGAAUUAAAGAUGAAAGACCUUCUGCACAAAUUAUGAAAAGAUAUGGGGAAAGCGGACCCCCUUGUCUGAGACCAUGCUCCGGUAUUACUGGUCCAACAUGUUCACCAUUAACAAGAACACUAUAGUCAACAGAUUCAAUACACAUAACCAUCCACUGAAACCACUUCUGAUUGAAACCCAUCUUGAUCAUCACCUCCUUCAGAUAUUCCCAAUCCAUCCUAUCGUAGGCUUUACUGAUAUCGAGCUUUAGAGCGACAAACUUGUCAUUGCCUCUAGUCUUCGUCUUCAUAAAAUGGAUAACUUAAAUAGCCACCAUCGCGUUAUCAAGAAUGGACUUAUUAGGGAUAAAUGAUGAAUGGUUUUCUGACACACAUUUAUGAAGAACUAAUUUCAGACGAUUUGCAAGCACCUUAGAGAUAAGCUUCUACAACACAUUACAAAGAGCAAUGGGGCACCAAUCUUUCAUAGACGCCUUAGAAUUUCCUUUCGGAAUGAGAUCUAUGUUCGUAAUAUUUAAAUUAGGCGAAAAACGACCUGUAUCAAGCCACUCACAACUCUCCUUGAAAAUCUCAUCACUACACAAAUUCCAAAACUGUUGGUAGAAACCGGGAUUAUAGCCAUCGGGACCGGGACAUUUGUCCGGAUGCAUAGAAAACAUGGCCUCUCGGAACUGCUCCCUAGUGAAUGGCGCGGUGAGCAUCACAUUGUCAUCCUCAAACACUGAUUGGCGAAUGGCUUGAAUAACAGGAGCCACAACCGUAUUUUGUUUUUGGAACAAAUUCAAGAAAUACUUUUUAGCAACGUUGCACAUUCUUCGGCUAUCAGAAAUCUUGUUACUUGAAUCGUCCUUGAGAGAUACAAUACGAUUGACCUUCUUUCUAGCGGGGGAAGAAGAAUGAAAGAAUUUCGUAUUCCGGUCUCCGUCUCUAUACCAGUGAGAUUUCGCCCGUUGCCGCCAAUAAGCAUCCUCUUGGGAAAGCAAUCUGCACGUCUUCUUUCUAAGACUCACAACCUGCUCUUGACUAGGACCAAAACUAUUCAACCGAAUAGUUUGUCUUUGCUGCCUACAUUCUUCUAUAUCGGAUUUCAAUUUGUUACAAUGGUCUAUGCUCCAUACCACCAUGUCAGCCGCACAAGAAGAUAAUUUAGAGACAAUUGAAUCUAGUGAAUGCAUAUGCCAAGCAUCAGUCACGAACUUCUUGAAACCUGGUUCCGGGUACCAAGCAUUCUCAUAACGAAAGCUGCGUUUGUGCAAAUAAGGCCGUUGCACAGGACAACUAUUUAAAAGGAUGGGAUAAUGGUCCGAAGACGGGGCUGCCAAAUUCUCAAGCGUAGUUGUAGGAAAAAUAUUGAACCAACCGGUGUUAGCUAAAGCUCUAUCAAGCCGUUCUUCCACCGCAUGCGGCAUGCCCAAACUUUUGAACCACGUAAAAGGAUACCCCUCCACCGGAACAUACACCAAUCCUGAAUCAAGUACCGCCUGCCUGAAACCAUUAAUCAACCAACUAGGUCGGAGGUUCCUUCCUCUUUUUUCACUUGCAUCCAUGAUGUCGUUAAAAUCACCCAGAAUACACCAUGGUCCUGCAAACUGAUUAGCCAGAAAUUUAAGGAAAUCCAACGCAUCUCGCCUACGCCUCCUUCAGGGUACCCGUAGUAACCGGUGAAUCUCCAAACACCUUGAACAGAAUCAACAACGUCUACAGACAUAUGAUUAUUUGAAUAGUUUACAAUCUGACAGUUAAAAGAAGCGCGCCAAAAUAAUGCAAGGCCACCACUUCUACCAUAACAAUCAACAGAAAAGCAUCAAUCAAAACCAAGCAGGUGACGUAAAGCUUCAAUUUUAUUACGGUGGACUAAUGUCUCACUUAAGAAUAAUAGAACCGGAUUGAAGUGCCGAACUAGGUACUUUAAAUCAGAAAUUGCACUCGGGCUACCUAAACCCCUGCAAUUCCAACCGAUAACACUCAUUUGUUGGACACUAAACAUGUCUGAUGCAAUGGCGUAGGCAAGACAUGAUAUGAUCAUAGUAUGGGCAAACACCUUUUGUCAAGCAUAAAAUUAAGACGCAGCCACACCAAACCACUAUAAAUCAAUUUGUGGAUGCAAGAAAUAAAGCCACGUGAAUCACAAACCUAAUGUACUAAUUGAUUUAAAUGUCAUAUGGUAGCCAAUUGAUGAAACCAUGCCUCCAUCAGAAAUAUCUUCCAUAAUCAAUGAAUUUGAAAGCCCAUAUGAUCACAUAACAUGCAAUGGAAAAAUGACUUUGUUAUUGCAUGGAUUCCAAUUUAACAAGGAGGAAUUUGAAUCGGAGUGCCAAUUGACAUAUGCAAACACACGUAAAAUUAACUCCAACACACAAAGGAAUUUCAAUGAUGAUCAGUGGAAGAACCCUAGGAGAGAAAACCAGAAGUUCGAUCUCUAUUUGCUAGCAUCUUUUAUUAAAUUGCUAAAAAAAAAAGCAUCUUUUAUUAAAAAAAAAAAAAAAAGUAAUUUCAUUGUCUAUGUCUAUGUCUACAGUCACUCAAAAUUAAAAAAGUUCGUAGUCAAGAAACAUAUAAAGCUACGCUCACAUUUAAAACUGAAAUUAAUAUAUUCUUUAAGAAAAAAUAAUACUUGAUGUGUUUAGUAAAUAUGGUUAGUGUAAAAAGCAAUAUUCGUACAAUAAAAUCAAUGGGUUGGAUUGGAUAACCCUAACGAAAAAAUAUAUAUAAUGCAUAACAGUGCUUAUUAGUUUACAACGAAGGAACAAACACCGUCCAUAAAAUCCAGCUUCUAUUGUUGAAAUUGUUAGGUUGAACUCUUUCAUCCAAUUUUAAACCAUGAAUUUUCUAAUGUGUAUGAGUUUUUUAGUCUUUAACUCUUCAUCUACAAACAAACAAAAAAAGUAAUAAAGUUUUCCUGCAACAAAAAAAAAUAUAAUCACUAUUGCAGGGAAACUUUGUUACAAUCUAACAAUCUUCGGUGAAGCCAUGUUGCUGCCCAUAGUAAUUCAUCCUAAUCCUAUUAGUAGUAUAAAUCUUCUAUUCUCUAAUUAUGAAACUCUACCAAAAAUAUAAUUUUACCAUUUUUUAAUUUUUUUAAGGGAACCAUAUUUUAGUUUUUUUUUUUUGGUUACAAGUCAUUAUAAAUUAUUUUCUUUUCUGUCUUUUGCUUCUACAUCCCGGUGUUAUUUCUCUCAUAAAAAAUUAUAAAUUAAAACAAAUUUUAACCAAUUAAAACAACUUUACUCAUAAUCAAAAGAAAAUUUUCUAUAAUAACUCACUCUCUAAACAAAUUCUUCCAUAAUAACUCACUCUCCACUGUUAAAUACUUAGAGUAAAAAACAAUCUCCAAUAAAAAUUGAUAAUUGAUAAUUUAUUCUUUAAUUAUGAAACUUUUUUUUUUUUUUUAGGAAUCUCUAAUUAUAAAAAUUAAUUGCCAGCAAAAACACAUUCAUGCUUUAUUCUAAUCAUUCCUCACCUCUGAAUUUUUUUCCUUUUUUUUUUUUUUUUGUGUCUUUUUGUAACAAAAGUUCCCUUUUAGUAGGGGUUGCAAAAAACCCAUGCCUGCGGAUAUCCGCGGAUAAAUUCCGUCAUGGAUACGGGAUGAGUAGCUAAACGGGUACCUGCAGGAAAAAUAAACGUGUAUUUAAAUACCCGUUGCUUUACGGACACGAACAUGGAUUUGAUGAUACCCAUACCCGUUAAUAAAUUAAGUAAGUUACUAAAGAAUCCAUGUGUGUGUCUAUAUAUAUAUAUAUAUAUAUAUAUAUAUAUAUAUAUAUAUAUAUAUAUAUAUAAUAUAUGUAUGUAUGUAUAUGAGUUUGGUAUCUCAAAAAAACCCUAGUAUUUUGGAUGAUUAUUUGGAUUUUAGUCUUUUUUUUUUUUGGUACAUAGAAGAAAUGGCAAAAUCAUCAUAAACUCACACACACAAAGUGGAGGUGUCGGGGUUCGAACCCCUGUCAAGACGUCCGACCUAACAAUUUCGGCAUUUUUGCCAGUUGAGCUAGGACUUGUGGGACUUUUGGAUUUUAGUCUUUUCUAACUUUUAUUUGGAGGUUUUUAUACUUUUUGGAUGUUUAUUUGGAUUUUGGAUGUUUUUACCCUUCUAUUUUACUUCAAGAAUUUGUAUGGAUUAUGUAAGAAUCAUAUACAUAUUAUGGUAUGAUGAAUUUGUUUGGGAUUGUGUAAGAAUCAUGAUAUUUGUUCGAUUUUGGUAUGAAGUAUAAAAUUUGAAUGAAAUAUAAUAUGUAUCGAUCUUUAAAAGUUGAAGUUUGUAGGUAAUUAAAAAAGUAUUUUUCUUUGUACAAAAACAAUAAAAAAUUCAUGGGUACCCGUGAAUAUCCUUCGGUAUCUAAAUACCCGUGGAUUACCCAUAUAGAGAUACCCACCCGCAUGGAGACGGGCACGGUACCAUAUUUAUCCAACGGGACUUGGACAGAUAUCUACCCGUACACACAGAUACCCAUUGACAUCCCUACCUUUUAGAAUGGAAAGAAAACAAUUGGUCGAAUAUUUAAGGUAAUUUUGCAACAAAGAAUUUCUUUUUAUAUAAUUAUAAUUAUAAACAUAAAAUAGAUUUUGAUUUUUAUAAAAUCACUACAAAAUAAUUCUUCAAGUUUUUGAUUUUCAAAAUCACAUGUAUCUUAAUCUGUAACAAACGAGCCUUACGAUGGGUUUUGUAUAAUUUCUUUAAGAAAUAAAAUCACAUUUUUUACCUCUAAAAAAUAUAUUCUUUUUAUGAUUAAGAUAAAUAAACACAAAAAUAGAUUUUGAUUUUUUAUAAAAUCACUACAAAAUAAUUCUUCAACUUUUUGCUUUUCAAAAUCACAUGUAUCUUAAUCCGUAACAAACGAGCCCUAUGAUGGGUUUUGUAUAAUUUCUUUAAGAAAUAAAAUCACUAUUUUUACCUUUAAAAAAUAUAUUCUUUUUAAAAACUAUUGUAUCCAUCUGUUACAAUUUAAAAAAAAAUAUCGGUAUCUACUUUACAGAGUAUUGUAUAUUUUUUUUUUGAAGGAACAGAGUAUUGUAUAUGUUCGUUUCAUUUUUUCAAAAUAUACUUUUUGUAGAGGGGAGAGAAAAUAAAAUAAGCAUCAAAAGAUGGAGAUAAUUUUGUAACAAAAAAUUUCUUUUAUAUAGUUUUAUCCAAGCAAAGUAAAUAGUUUUUUUUAAGAAGUGAUUUUUAUUUCGAUAAACAAACACAAUUUAUUUUUUUAUAAAUCUCUUAAUAAUAUUCUUUAAACUAUUGAAUGUCAAAUAAUUUUGUUAAUCCUUAACAAACAAGUCUUAUAUUUAAUUUACAUUUACUAAAAAUAAAUAAACUUUAUGAUGUUCAAUUUUAGGUAAUCCAAUGAAUAUGGCAAUUGUUUCAAUUUUAGUAUUAAAAAUUAAUAAAAUAAAUUCGAACAAAAAACAUGAAUAAAUACAUUUCACUUAUCAAUAAUAUGCAAAAAAAUAUAUUUUUACAUCCUUUUUUUAAGGAACGUUUUUUAAAAACCUUGUAUACUUCUAAAUCAAAUCGUUUAAUGAUUUCCAUAAUAAAAUCUUAUUCUCAUUUCCUCUUAUACAAAAAAAGAAUAUUAUUCAUUAAUAUUUUUUUAAAGAAGAUACUAUUUUAGUAUUCUGUUUUUAUUUUGUUUCCUUUAAUGGAAUCUUCAGUCAACACUCAAAUUUUGUUAUUUUUUUCUUAUAAUAAAAUAUCACUCUUCCUCUCCCUAUUCCAAAAUCAUCAUAGAGAAAAAGAAACUCUUACAUUCAACUUGAAAAGGCCAAAAAGAGAAAAGAUGAACAUGCUCAUGUUGAAGAAGUCCUUGGUUAAACACUGGUUUGUGAUUUUCAUUUCACCCUUUAUUUUGUGUGUUUCUUGUCUUAUCCUUUCUAAAUACUUUAUGAAAGGUGUUUCCCCUACUUUUCAUGCACCAAAAAAAUUGGACCCUUGUUUAGGCCAAUAUAUAUAUGUCUAUGAUCUUCCUAGUCGAUUCAAUGAUGACUUGUUGAAAGGAUGCAACACACUCAUUAAGUGGGAAAAUAUGUGUCCUUACUUAUCAAACUUAGGAUUAGGGCCUAAGAUUAUUGAGGAAUCAAAUGAAACUGUUAUUUCAAAGAAAAAUUGGUAUGCAACACAUCAAUUUUCACUUGAAGUAAUUUUUCACAACAUAAUGAAAGACUACAAGUGUUUAACCAAUGAUUCAUCACUGGCUUCAGCAAUUUAUGUACCAUACUACGCUGGUCUCGAUGUAGGUCGGUAUCUUUGGGGAGGAUUUAAUAUUUCCAUAAGAGAUGAAUCGCCGAAUCAAUUAGUGAAAUGGUUAGCACAACAAUCUCAAUGGAAACGAAUGUAUGGUAAGGAUCAUUUCAUGGUUGGUGGAAGAGUUGGAUAUGAUUUUAGGAGAGGAAGCGAUAAAGAUGAAGAUUGGGGAACAAAGCUAAUGUUUCUGCCGGAAGCUAGUAACAUUACGAUUUUACUAAUAGAAUCGUGUGCUGAUAAAGAGUUUCCUUUAUAUGAGAAUGAAUUUGCAAUUCCAUAUCCAACUUAUUUUCAUCCUUCAAAUGAUGAUGAGAUUUUUGAGUGGCAAAGGAAAAUGAGAAAUAGGAAAAGGGAAUAUUUGUUUUCAUUUGUCGGUGCUCCAAGGCCAAAUUUAACAUCUUCAAUUAGAAACGAGUUAAUCGAUCAUUGUCAAUCUUCUAAGAGUUGCAAACUUGUAGGAAAUCAUUUUGGCGAUCCCGUUCAUGUUCUGGAUGUUUUUCAGAAAUCAGUUUUUUGUUUACAACCUCCUGGUGAUUCUUUUACCAGAAGAUCAACUUUUGAUUCGAUUUUGGCCGGCUGUAUUCCUGUUUUCUUUCAUCCACAUUCAGCGUAUAAGCAAUAUAUGUGGCAUUUUCCUAAAAAUAAUUCAAGUUACUCCGUGUUCAUACCUGAAACUGAUGUCAAGAGGAAGAGAGUGAUGAUCAAUGAGACAUUGUUUAAUGUACAAGAAAGCGAAGUGUUGGAAAUGAGAGAUGAGGUCAUAAGAUUAAUUCCGAAGAUUGUAUACCGUUAUCCAAGUUCUAGGUUGGAGACACUUGAUGAUGCAUUUGAUGUAGCUGUUAAGGGAGUUCUUCAAAGAAUUGAAGAAAUGAAAAGGUAGAUCACAAAUGUCAGCAAUUCUUUCCAUGUAGAAGUUGUUGUCCUCUAACAAUUGCAUUUUCUUUCGAGUAAUUUGUUCUCGAGAGUCGGCACAUUAUUUUUGUAUUUACGAUAACAAAAUAUUUCAUUUCUUUAAUUAUGAUUUACGAUUUAAAUCUUUAAUUUUGUUUGAGUUUUGAUCUAAUAUAAUGUUUUACUUUGUUGGAAUUCAAAUUAGUGGUAUUAUCUCAUCUCAUGUCGACUAUAAACGUGCUAAUUGAAUGAUAUAUUAGACAUUUGUGUCUCAUAUACUCAACGUCUUAAGAUUUUGUAUAUCAAAUUAGUGUCUAGAUCUCUUGGUAAGCUUGGUUACUUGAACAAGUGUUAACAUUAUUAAACAUUGGUGUUGCAUUUUUUAGCUUUAAAAGAGCGUUACAGUAGUUGCAUUAUAAAAGUAAUACAUUAAUUGGUGGUACAUUGGUGUUGAGUCUUACAUUGGUUGCCCCUCUUUGUAUCUGGUUUUUCUUUAUUUUUAUAUAAUUAUAUAUAUUUUGCCAUUAAAAAAAAAGUAGAUGCAUUAUAGAAGGUUCAGCCAUUCCACCAUUGCCAAAAUCAGCACGAAUUAAAUGGUUGGACGACGAUGAAUACUUGGGAAACACUAUUCUGUCAACAAAAUGCAAAGAUGAAUUUGCGACAAAGAUUUGCAAAUUUAACAGCUGCAACACUUCCACGAGUAGCAAGUAAAAUCCGAGGCUUCCUGUAGUUGGCAUCUGUUCCCAUUCUCGAUCCUCCAAAUGUUGUCUCAGCUCUGCCUCCCGAGCUUGGGCUUCAGCUUGUUGACGUUGAUGUUCCUCAUUUUGUUUUUGUUGUUUCGACAUUUUGUGCUUGAAGCUCACGCACUGCCUCGAUCAGUUGAGCAAGUUGGGAGUUGACAUCGUCUUCCAGCUCGGAUCCAGAUGAUGUUCGGUUUGAUCUUCGUCCUAAAAUGGACGAAGGUUUGUUAGUGAAGCUAGGUCAUUGAAAAGUUUUACCGUAGCCCCGCGGUGGGAACCAACACCAUGGGCCCCUACGCGCGUCCAUUAUCCUACCAAAAAAAUUACACCAUUAUUAAAAUAUGAUCGAAAAUCUUUCAAAUCAAUUUGUAAAAUAUCUCAAAUUAUAGUAUUUAGCCAAAUAAAAGACAUUCAAAUUAUAAAAUGCAGGUGCAUAGUACAACAAAUAUAAAAAUUAAAGAUUAAUUAAUUUUUGCUUUUAUAUAAAAUUAUAAUUAUAUAGCUAUUUAUGUGCGGGUUGCAGACAAACUAGGGAUUAGAGUGUUUGCACCCGUAUCCAUAUCCAUUUAAAUUUGUAGGUAAAUACCCGAGCUGAAGCCCGAACUCGUUAAUGCAUAUGUAUUUACCUCACUCAUUGUAAGUAUUUUUGGUGUAUGCCUAAUAGGGUUGGGUUUAAUUGUUUUCCCUAAUAAUAUCUAACUACCUUAAUAGAGUUUCAAGUUACUCCAAAAAUACUAAUUGAAAGGUAUUUGCAAUACACAGUUGAGAGAUGGUUAAAGGUAAGAUUUUUCAUUUCAUAUGUGGCAGAUUGAGAUUUGCGGGUUUUGAAAUGUUAAUGUCUAACAAGAGAAUUUGAACGAGUGUGACAGAAAUCAUCUGAUGCAGUUCUUGAAACGGUUAUAAUUUGAAACCAGAGAUUUUUACAAAGAUGUUAAGUGUUAACUAUCCACCGGUUAAAUUCUUAUUAUAGGAGGGGGUUUUGGAAACUAAAUCCCAGAUAUCAUAUCUUUGGAAGUGACUUAGUUAUUCUUGCAUGGCUACAAUCCAUCCAUCAUCUGUCAACGCUUCAUCAAUAGAGGUAUGCUCAAUUUGAGAGAUUAGUCUUAUCAAAGAUUCAUUCCUGAAUGCUGAACUUGUCCUUAUUGGAGUAUCUUUACUUCCAAUUAUUAGUUCCUCUGGAUGAGAUGACUUAUAUUUGAAGGUGCUUCUAGAUUGAGCAGCUUCUUCUGAAUUAUCAUGGGCUUCUUCUUCUUCAGAAUCUCCAACUUCAGUAUUUCCUUCAGGAAUUGCAUCUAUAAUUGGAACUCAGAAGGAUUGGCUGGUAAUGACAGGUCAUCUUACGUUAUUAUUCGCAUGUUUUUCAGUCAUUUUCGAUAGGUUUUAUUAGCAAAAAGGAGAAGUAUUAGAGCGAUUGCCUAUGAUUUCGGAACUUUUGUAAUGUUUUCUAUAUUUAAGUAUGUAAUUCUAGUUUCCCCGAAACAUGGCCAUUUAAGGGGGGUGGGCGGUGGUUGAAGUAAUUCACGAAGAAAUCAUGCAAAUCGGCAAAUCAAGAACAUCCGAAGAUUUGUGAAAACUUUCGGAAGACCAAGAAUGAAGAUUCAAGUGAGCAUAGAGAAGUCUCUUGGAAUUGUCCUUGAGAAAUUUGUAAUCAGUUGUGACUAUAGUGAAAUCCCUUGUAAGUGCAAGGGGACUGGACUACUCCUAGAUUGCAGGAGAAACCAGGAUAAAAUUGUUGUGUGUCUUCUUUCUCUCUCCCUAUCUCUUUAUAUUUGUGUUUUGUAUCUUAUCCGCUGCACUCAGACUUUGCAUCAGUAUCGGUACACCUUAGAUUCUAAUCAGACUAUUAAACCAAAGAAAAAGAAAGCCACGAAAAUUCUUGCACAAUUCACCCCCUUUCUUGUGUAUUUUUCUCACCUUCAAAUCCUAGAUUUUUUUUGUUUACUCCCGUAUUUGUUUUUGCACCAGUCCUUUGAUAAUCUAUGGUACACUCACAAUUUUGAGUGUACCGGUACUCUUGUUUCACAAAAUAUAUAAAUUAACGAUCACUUUAAUGAAAUAAAAAGGUAUUUUUCAAUAUUCAUAUUUUAAAAAACAUCAUUUCAUAAGAAAAACCAUCAUUUCAUUGUUUAUAAUGAUCAUAUUAAAAAAAUUACAUUUUGUCAUAAAAAAUAAUCAAUAUUCAUUGUUAUGAGUAAUAAAAAUUAUUAAAAAUUAAAUUUUAUUUCGUCGAAGCUUUUGGUAAAUAAAAUUUAAUUAUCUUAGUUGUCAAUGAUAGAAAAUAGUAAUUAUUUUUCUUCAAAAAAACAACUCAUUUAUUAUUAAUUUUACAACUUGGUGUACCGAUACACCCAAAUUUAUUGGGUGUACCAUAGAAUUUGCCUAUAUAUAUAUAUAUAGGAUGUAUCAAAUGAGAGGACAUUUUAAAUGAGAAAUGAGAGGGAUAAAUCUCAACCCUUAGAUUAAUCUUUAUUGUUCUACCUAAUUUUAAAAACUACAGCCUAUUUUCUUUUUCAUUCCCCUUUGUGUGCUUCUUCUCUCCGCCGUUUUCUCUCCCUGUUGCUAUUAGGCUUUCUUUUUCAGAUCAAAUCUAGUUUUUAAUCAAUAAGCGAAUCCACUUUUGGAAUCACACCAAAAAGAAGUUUGAGUAAUACGAUUUUUUUUUUCAUUCUGUUCAUCUUUUAGAUGUAAUCUACUUUCAAUUUAAAGAAGAAGAAAAACAAUCUUUUCAAAAUCUUCAUGGAUUUCGUUUCGUUAUAUAAUGCUCUCAUUAUAAAAUUUCCUCUCACUUGAUACACUCUGUAUAGUCAGAUCCGUUGAUAUCAGGUGUCAACGGAUUCGUUGACACCAAAUCUUAAUCGUUAAUUUCAUUUGAUCAAAAGGCUAAUAUUUAACCACUUAAAAGUAAUACCAUAUUUAUUAUGAUUUUCAUUUCCUAAUUUGUUGCAUCGAAUUCUCUCUCUUUUCAUAAUGAGAUUGUAACCUGUAUAAUUGCAUUCUACCAUAAAUUAGCAAGAUUAAAUUAACAAGCAUUAUUAUGUAAAAAAAAAAAAUUAUGCAUUGAACUUGUUGAACAAGUAGAACAGCACUUCAAUUCAUCGGUGGCAAUACAUUGUUGUUAUGAAUUUCAUGUCCUCAAUACGGUUGACUUGCCAUUAUUUGUGCCAAAUUAUUUUUUAAAUUGCUUUCGUUCAAUUUUUUUCCUUUAAAAUUUUUAAUUAGUAGAAAAACAUGAAGGCCAUUUUAGUAACAUAAGAUUGUAACAAUAAAAAAUAGCAUAAGAUUAAGAAGAAGAAGAAGAAACAUGGCUUAAAGAAAAGGUUGGCAUAAGAUUAAGAAAAAGAAAUAAUGGAGCUUAUAGAAAACGAGUUAUCAUCUGCAAAUAGAAAAGGUUGAAUCUUGGCAUUGGAACAAAAUGAAGAAUAAGUAAUUAUUAUUUUUCUGAGAAAUUAACCCUUUUUUUAUAGAAAAACUUUACUUAUGUUUGCUGCACACAUAGAACAAAGUUAUUAAUGGAAUGUAAAUCGCAAAUAUAGAAAGAGAAAACCGAUGAAAUAAAUUAGGAAAUGAAAAUCGCAAAAAGAUAUUCUACAUAUACUCUUAUGUGGUUCACAUUAUAUUCUUAAUGAAUAAAUAUAAGUCUUUAGAUCAAAAGAAAUCAACAGUUAAGAUUUGGUGUCAACGAAUUCAUUGACACCUGGUGUCAACGGAUUCUGACUUAUAUAUAUAUAUAUAUAUAUAUAUAUAGGGGGCAUAUCCUGUGAGAAUGCAUUUCUUAUAUGAGAAUCGUGAGAAUAUUUAUGAACCCUCUGAUCAAAAAGAGAUGAUUGAGAUUAAAAGCCUCAUAUGUGCCUCUCCUUAUUCUAUUCCCAUUCAACUUCAUCUUCUCCAACCCACCAUAGUCUAUGAUGUUGUUCUCCUACUGAUUCUAUAGCAACGCCUUCAAAUUAAAAACAACUCUCCAGAAAGAAAGAAAUAAAUAAAAUGCAGAUGUCUCCUUAAUGUCACGGAAUUUCAGUUUUUUUUCCUUUCGAUAUUAUGAAAAACCAUCAAAAAUUAAAAAAACACCAUAAUAAUUCAGGAGAUUUAUUGUUCUUGAUAUAGCCAAAUUGAGAAUUACACUACAGAGAGAGAUCAUAGUCAAUUGGAAUAAAAAAAGCUAGCAGUAUGGGAAAUUUGGGGAAAAUAGGAUUUGGGAAAUUUCUACCAGAAUGGAACUGAUUUAUUUACAAUUCAAUAAAGAAAAAGAGGAUUGUUGCUGGAUUACUAUCAAUUAUACUGUUCGAUCAUUUCCAAAAACGGAACGUUGCAAUUGAAAAACUUUGAGGGUUGGAGAAGAUGAAGUUGAAUGGGUUUAUGAGAAGGAAUAGAAUAAGGAGAAGGCAUAUAUGAGGCUUUUAAUCUCAAUCAUCUGUUUUUGAUCAGAGAAUUCAUAAAUAUUCUCACCAUUCUCAUAUAAGAAAUGCAUUCUCACAGGAUAUGCCCAUAUAUAUGGGGUUUGUUAGGAUAAACUCAUUAAUUUUUAUUAACGUGUGUUUUAAUAAAUAUAUAAUUAAAAAGUUGUUAAAUACAUCUUAAGGUGAAUGUUGCUACAACACUCCUUUUAAAAAAAGAAGUGGGUGUAUGUUAGCAACUCCUACAGACAUUUGCUAGAAUACACCCACUUAUUUUUUAAAAGGUGUGUUUUAACAAAUUAUAACUAAAAAGUAGCUAAAUACACGUGUAAUUUGCUAAAACACUCUCACGUAAAAACUAGUGGAUUUGUUCUAUCAAAUCCAUAUAUAUAUAUAAUAUGGUAUUGCUAUAACACACCCAUUUAUUUUUAUGAAGGUGUACAUCAGCAUACAAUACCUUAUUAUUUGGACACUAAAAAAACUCUUUUCUCUCUCUUUAAUUGUUAUCUAUUAAAUGUCUCUAAAGUAAUUUUCAUACCCAAUCCCCAUUUUCUCUCUCAUGUCUCAGCCAGAGGAUUUUUGGUUCAAAGAAGGAAGAAAAUCUAGUUCAUGUGGUUCUUUGACAUUUAAAUGAUAACUUUUUGUCCUAACUUACUAUUUUUUUUUUGAAGCAACCUAACUUGCUAUUUAACUGUUGAAAUAAUAAUAACUGGUUUGUGUUGAGUUUUUUUUUUUUUGGUAAGAUUUAUUUUUUCUUUUGGUACAAAGCUGAGUUUUUUUUUUAAUGGUACAAUAUAUGUGUUAAUAACAAAGCCAACGUCAAAAAAAUAUAAAUAACGUUGCAAUUGUUGGGUUUUUUUUCUUAAUGCCAAAGAGGAACGAAAAGUACCAGCUUUUCUUUAUUAAAAAAAUAAAUGUACCAGCUUUUCUUCUAUCCACCAGAAUGAUUGGCCGAAAGAAAUGAGAGCAAGAGAGAGAAAUUGAGGUUUGGGUAUGAAAAUUACUUUAAGAGGCAUUCAAUAGGUCACAAUUGAAGAGAGAGAAAAGGGUUUUUAAUGUCCAAUUAAAAAGGUGUUACAUGCUACUGCACACCUUCCUAAAAAUGGAUGGGUGUGUUAUAGCAACACCGAUAUAUAUAUAUAUAUAUAUAUAUAUAUAUAUAUAUAUAUAUAUAUAUAUAUAUAUAUAUAUAUAUAUACUUCCUUCGUUCUAAAUUGUAUGAUGUUUUGGGCAUUUCACACAUAUUAAGAAAUGUAAUUAAUAUGUGUUGGAAAAAGAUAUUAUGAGUUAUUUUAUAAAAUUAUCCUUAAUAAAUGAUAUGAGAAAGAUAAAUGAAAGAAUUGAAAGAAGAAAAAGUAAUAAAUAGUUAAAGAUAUAAUAGAAAAAGUAACAUUAAUAUUUCAUUGGUAUUAUAAAGUGACAUAUAAUUUGGGAUAGAGGGGUAUAUAUAUAUAUAUAUAUAUAUCGUGUGUGUUUCAAUUGCUGACGUGUUCUGGUUUGGGCAAAAUAAAAGCAUUCAUGAGUGAAAAACAACAUAGAUUUCACCUGAGUUCCCAUCGAGUACCACAAUCGAAGUCAAAAUCCAUUCUCUAAAAGGCUUCAUAAGUUGUAUGAGUAUAGUUUCAUCUUGCAUAACUUCUAAACGAAUAUUUUUUAAUAAUUAUAAUCAAUACAGUUCCUUCUUAGAAGAAAUAAUUUAACUAAUGGACUCUUUCAUCAUGAAAUAUGACUUGAACUGUUUCGAAAAUUAAAAGUGUAUCAUUUUUCUUGGUGGAAUUAUAUUGGAAAGAAAAAAUAAUCUUAUUAUUAUAUUAUUUAGUGCUUUGUUUCAUUUCAUUACCAACAUCUUCGAGUAGAAAGCAAUAAUUGCAAGGAUUGUAAAAUUAUAAAUUAUAAGAUAAAUAUAAAAAUACAAUUAUUGUGUGCGUGAAGAUUAACUAGAUGGAAACCAUGAAAUAUUUUUGUAUAUGGUAUAUAUUUCAUAUAUUUAUUGCUAGCAUAAUUGCUUGUUCUUCCAUUUACGGAGUAAAUCUACUUUCUUCCUUUCGGAAUUGGAAAUGGUAUACAAAAAUCAUUAAUGCAUUCAUACCAGAUAUUCUCAUCAGUCUUCAAUGUCUUCAUACAAUCAGCAGUAGUGACACAUGGUUGAAAUGCUGUAAUGUAAAAUUGAGUAAAAUAAUGUUACUAAAAAAAAUAAAAAAUAUUCAGUAACUACAAACAAAAUAAGGAAAUUUGAAAAGCUUGAAGAAGUAGCUCACCAUAAACAUUCUUUGGACCAAGAAAUAGGGUAACCAAUACAAUAAAAGUAAUAACAAACAUGAGAGUAUUAGACAUAUUUUUAUAUCUUUACAUGUUACAAAUAGAAUAUGAGUUGAUGAUCUUAUAGUGUAGAAAGUGUGUGUUGUGCUAAAAACAAUUAAAUAUUUUAAUAACUUAACGAGUUGUUAAAAACCUUCAUACAUUUAUAAAUUGUCUCUUAAGGAUAUUAAGGUGUAGUGAUUGUCUCUUUAGCACAUCUAAUAUAUGGGUAACAUAAAAAAACUUGGUAAUAAUUAAUAAUCAUUUUCUAAUUAACUUUUCAACAUAUGGAAAUAUAAAGGGGAAAUUUUAAAAAAAAAUGUCGUUCAUGCAUAAUUAUAAUCACAAGAUAAUUACACACAAGUUUAACAUAUUUAAGGAUUUUUUAAAUAUAAAAUCAUUUUAUCACUAAUAAAAAGUAGGCUUAAUUACUCUUUUGGUUCCUUAACUUAUUUUUUGAUUUCGUUUUGGUUCCUUAACUAUUAAAAGUUUCGUUUCGGUCCCAUAACUUAUUUUUGGGUUUUCUUUUGGUCCCUUAACUAUUAAAAGUUUCGUUUUGGUCCCUUAACUUAUUUUUUGGUUUCGUUUUGGUCCCUUAACUUAUUUUUUUUGUUUCAUUUUGGUCCCUUAACUCUAAUACAUUCAUCCUAACAUAAAGGACCAAAGAGGCUGACGAAGGAAGAGUUAAGGGACCAAAAUGAAACCAAAAAGUAAGUUAAAGGACCAAAAAGAAACUUUUAAUAGUUAAGGGACCAAAAUGAAACCAAAAAGUAAGUUAAGGGACCAAAACAAAACUUUUAAUAGUUAAGGGACCAAAACGAAACCAAAAAAUAAGUUAAGGGACCAAAAGAGUAAUUAAGCCUAAAAAGUAUACAGAAUUGUAAAUGCAUGAUUUCUUCAUCAUUAUCAUUGACAUAAAUUAUUUGAUUUACUCCAUGUCCUAAUUUGGAUCGAACUCUUCUUCCUCUGAAUCAUCGACUUCAGAUACCAUAUCAUAUUAAGCUGGCAAAAUUGAGACCACAUUGCAUAUGAAGUCGAAGUCUGGUUCUGAAUCCAUAAACUUUGAACCCAAUUCAUCAUCUUCAUCAGAAUCCUCUUUGACUAGGGGAAGAGACAACCUUUAUUAUGUUGGUCUUCUUCUUGAUUCGACCAUUCUUUGACCAUCAUUUGGGUCAACAGUUUGUCUUCAAGGCUUGCAGCAACGCCUUUUUUGGACCUCUGGUACCUUCUCCAUUGAGUCCUUGUCAUGGGGUUCUUUCCUUUGUAGUUGUUGUUGUAAGCAUACUUCUUUGACUCAAAGGCAGUACCAUUUUUGUUGUCAACAAUAGUACUAUUGCUUCUUUUCACCACAUUGUUCUUCCCAUGUUGCACAUUCUUAUGGGUCGACUGAACCCAUUUCUGGUUAGGUGCAUAAGGAACCAAAGCUUUUCCUUUACCACCUUUGUUGACGUAAUUGGUGGUAGAAGAGUUAUUAAUGAAUGGAACUCUUUGUAAAGGAAAACUUAGGUCUAUGAUCACCAUACCAUUUCCCUCUUUUCUUAGGGUUUGGGAUAGAACUUUCAACGCCUUUAGUUGCCUCUUUGUCAAAUACAGCACUACAUCGAAGGCAAAACAUUACCUCAUAAUUCUUCAGCCUACAUCGAUUGAGGAAGUCAAUCAAUUCUUCUUCAGCUGUAGGAUAGGCUGUCUUUAACUCCGCGUCGAACUAAGGCCUAUGGAGUAGUCUUUUCGACGUAUUCUGCAUCUUUAGUGAUGUCCACCAUUUGACAUUCUGCAACAUCGGCCUCUGCUCCUACUUCUGCUUCGACAAAUAGAUUUUCGACAAUAUCAAUGAUUGCUUCGACCAUAUUGCAGCCUGUAAUAUCAGUGUACAUCAUACUCUCAUCUUUCAAAGGAUCAGAGUCUACUUGCAUUUGAGGCUUUGGUUUGUCUCUAAACUUCAAUUUGCCUUCAUUGAGACCUUUCUGAACCAAAUCCCUGAAAAGGGAACAUCAUGAGGUGUUAUGUCCCAAAUAAUUGUGGUAUUUACAAAAACCUAUUUUCUUACGUUGCUCCAGUAGUGGGAUUUUUAAAUCCUUAGGUGCUACCACUUGACCAUCAGCAACUAAGAGAUCAUAAAUCUCGUCGCAUUUGGUUACGUCGAACGUAUAUGUCUUGGGAACAUAUCUUUCAUUGCUUGGUUCGAUAGGAUUAUUCCCAUCUGAGGGCCUUAACGAUUUACACGUAUAAGGGGCCCCUGGUCUUAGUUCAGAAAUGUCAACCUCCUUUGUUUCGACAUCGCCAAAGGCUAUGUCGAAUUCUUGGUUGCUUCCGUCUGAUCCGAUAUAAGAAACCUUUUCUCUUUUGUCAUAUUUCUGAGUUCUGGAUUUCUCAGCCUUUAGUCAUUCGACUGCCUCUGUCAAAUAUCGUGUGAUAUGUUCAACAGGAAACUCACUGAUAUCACCUGAAAAUUUGGUGAACUUAGGAAUUUUGUAACCCCUAGGAAGUUCAGACUGUAAUACCAAUUCCGACAAAGGAGAAACAAAGUUUGGCCUAUGUAAUCCAAUAUUUAAACCAUUUUGAGCCAUUAUAUUUUCGACCAAAUUGGCUAUAUUGUUAUGUGCUCCUAUGUUUUGUUGUUGCACAUUCCUAACAACUUCAUCGGCAUCAUUAUUUAUAUCUAACAAGACCACCUCAGGUUGACCUUGAAUCAUUGGUUCGAUCGGUUGGGGUCGAGGAACAGGUUGUGGUCUCUGAACCACUGGUUCGAUCAACCGCAACAGUUGUUGGUUUUGGACCUAUGGAACCGGUUGGUAAACAGGUUGUGGAAGAGAAAAGAAACCUAUUAUCCUCCCCAUUUAUUUUGUUAAAGCUUGGUAACUCCGUUUUUUUUCCGUAUCAAAGGAUUAAACACGAUACCAAUUUGUUGUGUCAACAAAUUAACCAUUUCGUGAUUACUCUCAUCUAUUUGUUGUAUUAACAAGUUCAUCGAACCUGUCGUUAAGACUGGUAGAGUAUUUCGACCAAAAAUGCUAGAACUUGAAGGACUAUGUAUGUUGUGCAUUGUGAACGGAUUUGCUUGGUCUGCAAAUGCUGACGCACUAUUAUGUACAUUUGUCAUUAUCGAAGUUGGCAUACCAUACAGUUGUUCCCUAGGAAAGUUGUGCAUAAUUGUGUUUCGAUCAUCAAGUUGAGGCCUAGCUAAAGGAGAACUUGGAAUAUUGGUAAUUGAAGGAACACUACCAGUGAAUGGGGGAACAAAGGUUCCUAUUUAUGGUUGUGUCAUUGGAGAGGACGUCGAAACGGUUAAGGGAGCAGUUACUCCCAUUUUCGACGAAACUAGCAUAGCCAUGGUUUCCCCCACAUAGAUUGACACGUUUAAAUCUCUCAAAGGAGAAGUCGCUUGUAAAGAUUGUGCUUGUGAAGAUGAUUGUGAAGAGGAUGAACUAGCACGAGCCAUAGAUUUACCACUUAUCAAAUGCAUACACAAACAACUUGGUGUUACUUGCAAUAUCAAACUUGUUAAAAUGCAUUGCAUUAAAAGUAAAGUGGUCUACAAAUCAGUUUACAUACAUUCUGUAUAACUCAUUUUCCUAGACAUCGGUAGUUUGAGUGUUGUAGAAUUUCUUUAAAUGAUUUGCGACCCAUUUCCGACUUGGAAACUCUUAUUUAUACCUAAAAAAAUAAGUGGCAGAGCACUAAUCCCAUGAUCAGCACUUUCUCCAUCUUGGACAACCGCGUGUCCCCACAUUUCCAAUAAGGGGACCACUCUUGAUCUUGAAAUCAUUUUUUCCCGCCUUGAAUGUUUCAGUUCGAUAUGAUUGCACUUUCAGCCUUGUUCUUUCGAAAUGCUGACUAUGCGCGCUCGACAUGCCAUCUUGUCGAAAUCCUCAAAUUGAAAUGAGAAAGCUUUCGAUUCCUGCAAAGUUAAAGGUCAAACAAGUGUUGAACAUAUUUAAUGAGUCUGUCGAAAUUACAGGCUAACACUAACAGAACACAAAUUAUGCAUAAAAGACGACAUAUAACCACAUCAUGAUAAUCAAAAUAUCAAACACCCAACAUGUUUCAUUCUUAUUUCAUAUUGUUAUCAUGUUUGUAAAAUCAUUUGCAAUUUAUCCGAUUAAGAAAACUCAUUUUGACAAAGUUCGUAUAUUUUCACAAAAUCGCCUAUUUUGACAUUUUCACACAAUUCAUCAUAUUUCAAGCAUAUAAAUACUCAAUUCAAUCAUAAAUUAUCAUAUUAUCAUGAAUACAAAAUGUUGUGGGUUCCUCCUCACCUAAUGAUAGGGGGCAGGAAAAAAAAACUAUUUGGGAUUAUAAGUCAACUGAAAACUUUGUGAAAGCAUGUUUGGAGCAAGUUUCCAAGCGAGAACGUGUUGGUGCGAGCUUUACAAAAAAAGGGUGGAAAAAUAUUAUGGCCCGAUUUCAUAAUUUAACCAGACUGAAGUAUGAGAAGGCUCAAUUAAAGAAUAGGUAUGACAGUCUGAGAAAGGAUUGGAGAGCAUGGUAUAACUUAUUUGGGAGAGAAACUGGAUUAGGGUGGGAUCCGGUGAACAACACUGUUGUAGCACCUGAUGAGUGAUGGGACACCAAACAACUGGUAUGUAAUAGAAAAAAUUGUUAUUUCGUAAACCUUAGAUAUGUAUACCCGUGUUUCUUAUAUGAUGUGAGUUAUGAAAAUGCAGGAAAACCCUCUUUAUGAAAAAUUUAGGAACAAGGGGCUUCCAUUCGCCAAUGAUUUAACCACACUUUUUAAGGAUGUAGUGGCCAAUGGAGAGUACACUUAGGCACCAUCAUGUGGGGUAUUGCCAUGUGUGUUUGAAGAUGAUGAUAAUGAUGAUAAUGAUGUAGUGGCUGUAGAAGGCUGGCGAUAGCGAGGAUGCAAGUGUUGGAGCAACAACUGAAUUUGCAAAUAUUGGACUGAAUUCUUCACAAAAAACCGAUGGUCAAAAGAGUGGUGAGAAGAGGAAAAGAGCUAUUAGAGCAAACAAGCCAAGUAAGAAAAAAGCAAGUGCAUCAUCAAAGCUAGCUGAAGCUGUUAGUUUAAUUGCAGAGACAUGUCGUUCUCGCAAUGAUGUUGUGGGUAAUGCAUCUAUUGGUGAAGUGAUGGUUGAGCUAUACACCAUGGAUGAAAUCUCAAAUGAUCUUUAUUUGCAUGCUCAGUGUUGCAACUUGCUGAUGUUUAAGCCUGCAAGGGAGAUUUUUAUUUCCCUACGAGGUUCAGAGGAGAAGAGGUUGAAUUGGCUUAAGCAUACAAUUGAUAACCCAUUGUCAUUCAUGACUAUGUAAUUUGGAACCUAUGUGACUAGGAUGUGAUGGGAAUUAAGCUAGGAAGUACUAUAAAUUAAGAAGUAAUCUAUGAAGUACUAGUAACUAUGAAGUAUUGUUAUGUUUAGUCUUUAAUGUUGUAAUGUUCCGUUAUCUUUAAAUUAAGAAGUAAUCUAGGAAGUACUAGUAACUAUGAAGUACUAUUAUAUUUUUCUUUUCAAUUAGGAAGUAAUCUAAGAAGUGGUAGUAACCAUGAAGUACUCUUAUGAAGUACUAGUAACUUAUGUAAUUUUUUUAUCCCUUAAUGAAGACUUAUGUUGUGUGAUAAUUAUGCUCGUAUUUUUGGUUCACUUAUGUUGUUUUUUUUGCUUCAGUUUUAACUGGUAUUUUGGCUCUGAUUUGCUGGUUUCCUUGUUCAGUUUUUACCACCCUUUUAGAUUGUGUGAAAGGAUUGUCCAGAUCAUAGUUAUUUGCAAUGUUGUUAUGAUUUCUGCACUAUAUUUGUCACUAUAUUCGGCACUAUAUUUGUUUUAGAUUGCAGUUAUUUGCAAUGUUGUUAUGAUUUCUGCACUAUAUUAUGCACUUGCUAGUAAUGUUUAAUUUUUAAAAGACCAUUCACUUGCUGUUAAUUGGACUGCCUCUUCCUUCUGGUGUUUCGGUCUGCAGACAUAAGAAACAUAACAUGUGGGUUGCACUUGGUAGUUUGCUGCAAAAUGCACAGAUAUACACAAUAAAGAAAACUAACAUAUGGGUUGCACUAGGUAGUUUGCUGUAAAAUGCAAUACAUAAGAGUUACUUUGCUAGAAACUUAUUUACAUUGCUAGUACCUUCUACAAAGCUCCUGCACUAUAUUUUUCUAUAAUUCAAAUGCCAUGAUUUCUGAUUGUUCUGAUCAUUGUUAUGUUUUUUAUGAUUUCUUAUGUUUCAAAGCAUGUUUUAGAUUGUGUGACAUUCAAGAUAGCUCCUGAUAUAUUAAAUUAAUUUUUUUUUUUUGUUUUUUCUUACUAAUUGUUUACCUUUGACAGUAGCCAAAUCUCAUUGCAAAAUGAACUAUUGGAAUGAAGAAUCAAAUGAAGACGAUGAUUUUUUUGAACAAGCUUCUUUAGUGGCUGCACUAAUGGGUGAGUAUGUUGUGAAACAUUUAUGUAAAGAGCCAUGUAGAACUAGUGAGCUAACAGGGCAUGCAUGGGUGAAAGAAGUAUUGUAAGGAAAUCCCACUCGUUGUUAUGAGAUGUUUCGAAUGGAAAAAAAUAUUUUUCAUAAACUUUGCACUAAAUUAGUUGAUCAUGGUUUAAAGCCCACUAAUCACAUAGGAGUAGAAGAGAUGGUUGCAAUGUUCUUACUUGUUGUUGGACAGGAGUGGGUAAUAGAAUGAUUCAAGAAAGGUUCCAACACUCAGGAGAAACUGUGAGUAGACGUUUUCAUGAUGUGUUAGUUGCUUGCUUGAGUUUGUCCAUAGAAUAUAUAAAGCCUCAAGAUCCUUUGUUCCGUGAUAGUCAUGCAAAAAUUCAAAGUGAUCCACGGUAUUGGCCAUUUUUUAAGAAUGUCAUAGGAGCAAUCGAUGGUACGCAUAUUCCCUGUGUAGUUAGUGCCAAUGAUCAAACUAGAUUUAUUGGAUGAAAGGGAUAUCCGACACAAAAUGUAAUGGAUUUAUGUGAUUGGAACAUGUGUUUUACUUUUGUUUUAGCUGGAUGGGAAGGUACUGCCCAUGAUGCUCGUGUUUUUGACCAUGCUCCCACAAAUGCAAAUCUAAAUUUUCCACAUCCUCCUCCAGGUAUUAAUAUUAUCCUUUACAACUUAUUUAUUAGUAUUAUUUUUUACAAUUUAUAAUUUAAUUUAUUUUUAGGUAUGUAUUAUUUGGUGGAUGUCAGUUAUCCAACACCGAUGGGGUAUCUUGAACGUUAUCACCUCCCUGAUUUUCGGCGUUCUCAUGGGUUUGAAAAUAACAACGAGGUAUUCAAUUAUUAUCACUCAAGUUUAAGGUGCACAAUAGAAAGAACUUUUGGUGUAUGGAAGAAUAGAUUUGCAAUUCUACGACGCAUGACUAAAUUCACAAUUAAGACACAAGUUGAAGUCGUUGUUGCAACAAUGGCUAUACAUAACUUUAUUAGAAGGAAUGCUGAUAUGGACGUCGAUUUCAAUCGGUAUGAGGAUGAAGACAUAACCCUUGAUCAUGAUGAUUAUCGUAGACCAGUUAAUUUUGAUUUAUCUCAAAAGUUAAAUAUAGCUUCCUCAUCUGAGAUGAAUCAUGUUCGAAACUCGGUUCGAGGUCAAAUUAUAAAGUUCAAGAAAAAUCAUUAGUAUUGUAGUAAUGUUUAAUUUUAAAAGACCAUCCAUCAGAGAUGAGAUAGCAGGAUGCAGUGAGAAGGCAUAUGACUAUCUUGCAAAGAAAUACCCUCUUUGCAACUCAUCAACCAAACACUUAGUUAUGCUAGGGAGUUGGAGAGGAUUGUCUCAAAAGAAAUGGAUGCAAUGGAUUUUGUGUUUUCCAACAUUGCUAAUAUUGUCUAAUGAAAUUGUUUAGUUCUGAUUCAAUGUGGAACUGUAAAAUGAUUUUAUCUCUUUAUUUUGUUCAUCUGGGUGUUGUAUUUUUCUUUAGUGUACCCUUUUCUUUCUUCUUUACAGUGCUCAAAUUCAUUAUAUGCUUGUGUUGACUACUAUAUCGUAAGAAUUGGACAAUUGAUGAAUUUCAAAUCCAUUGGAAGGUUCAUAUUAAAAAAAAUUAUAUAUAUUCCCUACAUGCAUUUUUAUUUGAAUAUUGUGUGAUUAACAAUUAUAUUAAUUUAGUAAUUUUAUUGUUAGUUAAUCAAAAAUAAAUGAAGGAUGAAAAAAUCAAAUAAAUGUAAAAUUUGAUAUAUAUAUAUAUAUAUAUAUAUAUAUAUAUAUAUAUAUAUAUAUAUAUAUAUAUAUAAACACAUACACAUACAUACACACACACACUCACAUUUUAAAGUCCAUUUUGAUCUUUUACACAUCUAAAAGCAAUUCUGACUCAAAACAUGCAAACAACAUUUUUCAUACUAAUCACUUUUGUUUUGAAGGUAUCCAAACAUAAAUCACUUUACAUUCAACUCACUUUUAACCAAAAUCAAUUCUACCAAGAUCAAUUUUUUCCACCGCACAACCAAAUACACACUAAAACCAGUAUCAUUUGAUGAAAAACAUAGAAGCUAUUUUCAAACUCCAUCAAUAUCAUUAAUAUUUCAGGGAAAAAAAUAAACAAUCAUAACUAAGGUCAAGGAAAACAAAAGAAAUAAAUUGUUUUUUAUUUAGGCAUUUUAUCAAACACAUCAAAUGCAAUGUUAUCAAAAUUGAAUUAAUAGAUAGAAGAUGAGUGUUUGAGCUUACCCUUGAGUACCAAACACUGCAACUAUUUGGCUAUUUGCUUGUGUUCCUUUUCCUGCGUGUUUAAGAAUGAAAGAGUGACAAAUGAGCCAACCUAUAUAUAGAAGUUUGUAUGAACAGAGAGUAACAACAUAGUUAAUGAAACUAUGAGGUUGGUGACUGAUUUCUACAAGUUGUAAAGAAUUAUGAUAAAUGGAAUUGAUUAGAGGUUAAUGAAGUUGUGAGGUAGGUGAUUUGUUUGGUCUUUGGAUCAUAUUUGCAUUCAAAUUUUGAAAGGAGUUAUGAAUUCUGAUUAGAUGGAAAGUUAUGAGGGAUGUGAAAAGCAGCACAAAUCAAGGGCAAAAAAAGAGAUUUUGAUGGAAGGCAAACCUGGAGUUGAAGAAAUCGAUUUUCAAAAGCUAUGAAUAGAAGCUUCACCUAGAAUUGAGUUUGAGGAGGGAAACGUACGGUGGCUUCAUCCAGUUGAGAGAGAACCAAACACUCGAGAAUCACGUUGGGAUGGUUGGAAGCGCUUUUUCCACUUUUCACUGUGUAACCAAACACUCACUAACUCUAGAGGCACAUUCUCAAUAUGAAUCUGUUCUUAGAUAGGUGUGUUGGUGUUGAUAUGAGUUCAUAGAUUUUUAAUUAAUUAUAUUAAAUUAAAUUUGAAGUCAUACAAAUCGCAACAACCAGUAAAAAAAUAUUAAUUUUUGUUGGUUAAAUAAAAAUAUUGAUUUAUGAACGAACGAAUAGUGCAUCGAAUGGCUGGUCCGUUACAAUUUAUAUCCCCUUUUUGUUUUUUUGAAGAAAUUUAUAUCCCCUUUUUGUUGAGUAAAUAUUGAUUUUUUUUUUUUUUUGGAUUUUUUUAUGAAUGUUGUUGAAUUUGACAUGAAUAUGAAGAAGUGGUGGAAGGAAGAAGAUGAAGGAAGAAAGAAAAAAUUAGGUGUUGGCGGUACACUGUAAAUAUAAUGGACCUGCAAUCGAAUGGUUGAAAUCAUAUCAAAAAUAUUAAACAUUAAAAAAACUAACGGAGGGGACCAAAAUAGUAAACUGCAGAAGAUUUAUGGGAUCAAAGUGAGACAUUUUAUAGUUAAGGGACUAAAAUGAAAAUAAAAAAUAAGUUAAGGGACCAAAUGAUGUAUUAAUUUAAAUAUAUUUAAUGUUAGAAAUUUAUAUGUAAAUAUUGCCCCCAUUAUUUAAAAUUUUUGGCUCCGCUUCGGGCACACCAUUUUACUUUUAAACUUCUAUAGUAUCAUAUGCAUAUAAUAAAGCCAAUUUCAAAAUAUUAAUAACUACAGUCUCAAGAUAUUUUAAGUUAGUUAAUGUAAAAGGUUUAAGUUCAAUUUUUUGCAUACUAAAUAUCAUGGUAAACUUAACCUUGAAAUAUUCACCAAAAAAAAUAUAAAAAAAUCUAACCUUGAAACGAGACAAUUUCCCAUCAACAAUUUGGUGGACUCACUCUAUUCACACUCAAUUCAAAUUGAAGGGAUCACUACAAAGGAUUUUUCACAUUUUGAUUGAAAAAAUAAAAAGUUUACCUGACAUACGACAUAUCAUAUGCAUGCUUAAAAUGGCACAACAAGAAGGUCCUACCAUAAUUACCAUAUUAUCCUUUCCUUUCCCUUUCAUGUCUUGUAAACAGAUAAGCAUGGUCCCAAGAGCUAUUAAAGAGAAAGCACUACUUAUUUACACGAAUGGGGCAAUGUGAUACUAGCAUCCACUUACUCAAGUUGUGUACUUGACAUUAAUGUAAGUGAUCUAAAUCUAAUGUAAGAAUUGCAAAAAGACCAUGAGUGCAUACCAAAAUUAUAAAUGCACAUUCCACUCCUUCAAAAUUAUAAAUGCCGAUCAAUUUUGUCCUUUAAAUUUGUAACCAAUUUAGUCCUUUAAUUUAACAAUGUCAAUCAAUCUAGUCUCCUUCAAAAUUUUCAAAUUAUCAUUUUAAAGAAUAAAGAAUUUUAGUUUUUUGUAGUAUUAUGUUUGUUGGAGUAGAUGUUUAUUUUGAUUGAGGGACUAAAUUGAUCGAUGUUCUUCAAUUUAAGGAACUAUUUUUUUUCAAUUUCAAAAACUUAAUUAAAUGUUGAUUUACUCAUUGAAUAGCACAAAUAAUAAACCAAAAAAAAAGGAAGUAAAGCGUGUUCAAAUUAUUGCCUUGUUCUUAUUCACAUUUUGCUUUUAUUUUUUGGCUAAUAUAAUUCACAAUUAUGGUAGAAUCGAGCAUUUACAUGCUGAAUAGGAAUAACAAAAUUCAGUGUAACCAAGAUAUAAAUUGAAUAUGAGAAAAGACAACUAAAAAAGAAAACAUGAAUCAAUGUCUUGUUAGCUGGUCUUUGUUUCCGAGAGGAAUCUUGUUAGAUUGAGAGGGUGGUGAUUCCCCCCUAUCAUCACCAUUUUUCAUAUCAAUGUCACUGGCUUCUGGUUUGGGUUUGUUAGGCUCAUUUUGUGGUAUAGUUCGCGUCAAAAACCUGUGUAUCAUCUCAUAACUGGUGAAUGUAAUAACAGCUGAAGGGGUUGUUCUUAAUAGAUUAGUAGCACAACCGCGAUAAAAUCCCCUAAUGCCUUCCUUUUGAAACACCUUUUUAGUGCAGUCAAUAACCCCGGCAUAUUGAACUCCACUACUAUUUUUCGCUUGGCCUUGCUCUUGCAGCCGGGAACGUAUUACCUCGUGUGGAUAAGUCAUUACAGAGGCAGUUACUUUUGAAAUUGAUGAUGCGAUUGCAACACUCCCAGGAUUUAGCUUGUCGACAGUUGUGUUAUCUGAAACAUUUAAAAUCCUCAUUGAAUGAGUUAUGUACUUAUUUCAAGGAUUGCUGAAUAUAUAAAUAAUAUAGUGUUAGCAUUUUGUACCUUUUUUGGCCAUGUAUAACUUUAUCUUUUCAUAUGCUGGGAAUUGAAUUGCUACAUGACUUACGCCAGCUAAUGAAGGCAAAAUACCACUGCAUAAAAGGAAUAUAAUACGAUCACAAUUCAAAACUAAACACACAAGAAACAAACUCAACUUAUAUCACUAUAAGUUUUAUUUCUGUAGCUGUCCAGAAAAAAAAAUCUGGUUUCUGUAUUGAACUUGGUGAUGAAGUUAUGUACACAUUGGCUGCGCCGUGUAUAUUAAUACAGAAUACAUUUUCUCCAGUCUAAAGAGGUUUCAUUAUUAUUUUAUUCUGUCUCUGUCCAAAUUUGGAAUCAACCAUUGUUAUUUAUAUCGCUGACAUCACUUUGUGAAAAAAGGCCUGGGUUAUCUUAUUGUUGCUGAAAUGAUUGGGUGAAGGAAACUGCAUCUAUUCUAUAAUAUUUCUUUUUUCAUAACGUAAGAUUAACAAGUUAUCUGCUGUCCACUAUUCAUUGGGAAAGAAAUAAUUGCAAAUAAAAUAUUCGAUCAAACGAUUAACCAUAAAUUAGGGAACUAGAAAACAUACCUAUACAGUCCUCGUAGGCCUUCCUCAUGAGUAAUCCUUGUCAAAGCGGAGAGAACACUCUUGUAAGGAACUACAUUAGGCCUCAUACCUUGUGUCUGAUAGGUUUCAGAGAGAGAAAAUGAAUUAAUAUCCAACAUAGCAAGGGCAUAUAUAGGCAUCACUGAAUAAGUGAAAUAAAGAACUCAUUUUUUGAUAAUAAAUCGUGGUUAAAACAGAAAGAGGUACAACAACCAAAUACAAGUUAAAACAUAAUACAGCAGAAACUAUUCAAUUUAACUGAUUAGUUUGGCUCGCAAAUGCACCAAUAAAUAUAUGGAAGAUUGAGAGACAUCAUCGACAGUAAAAAGGACAAAGAAAAAUAACAAUAGAAAAGAACGUAAAUUCCUAUUUUUACACAUAUUUUACCAAGAUUAAGCGCAUGAGAAGCACUGACUUACUUGAAGUCUUGUCUUAACAACCCACAAUGGGUUUGUAGAUAUUGCUGUUGCAGCCCCAGCUCCAGCAGCAGCUAUAAUAUUUCCAAUAGUUGUGAGUUCGUUGCAACCCUCUGCGACAGUAUUACCAACAAAUAUCGUCAUAAAAAGUGGUAAAUCCAGCAAAUAUACUCAGGAUCUGAAGUUAGUAAAAAACAACACUUAGGAUCUGAGGUUAGUAAAAAAAAAAAUCAGGAUUUGAGGAAACCAAAAUUGGAAAUAAGUUUGACAAAUCUGGUAUCAUACUCCCAAACUCUCCACUUCACAUUUACAGAAGAAACAAUGCAAGUAAAAAGAAAUCAUCAUUAAGAUAAUAUUUACCAUGUGUCCGAAGCAAGCCCUUUAUUUGCUCAUAACAUGUGAAGUAAACCUACAUUUGAAAUGAAUUUAUUGUCAUUUGAAAAUAUAUGAAAUAUGAAGAGAAGCUAUUACAAUUAUAUGAUUAAACAAUAAAUGAGAUUAUUCAUCUUCUAAUAUAAGAGAUAUGAUUAAUCAAUCAAUGCAAGACAACUGGAAGAUUAACAUUCAGAAGAUUCUUCACACAAAUGCAAAUGUAUUUGUUGUGUUACACAUCUAGGGCUAUGCAAGAAGGAAAAAGAUGAAGUCAUCUUAUACGAUUAUUUUUUGUCAUGAGUUGUCAAUUUAGACCUUGAAAUCAACUUGGUAAAAUGGUGCUAUAAAACUAAAGUACCCAAGAGCCGUAAUUUGAAGGUAAUUACAUUCAACAAUAAUUAAAACUAAGCAGUCAGAGACAGAAUAUUUCACUACAUUCCAUUAUGAAAUUAAGCAAACAAAGAUAUUGUAAACAUUAUGUCUGCAAGUUGGUUGGUGAAGACUAUCAUAGAGAGUGGAUAGAGGAUUUUAUGAAAAAUAAGAUUUGAUGUGGACAUUAUUCAGAUCAUGAAGUUAUCAAUUAUGUCUUGUCUUUGUUUGUUAAUAUUCGUGUAUAUGGUAUCGCAAGUGGGAAUACAUGCAGAAUGCUGAAACAAGACAUAACGGAAUCAGAAUAGAAAUUCAUCCAAACUCCUAUUUCACAGAACAUAGCAUCUUUUACUGCAAUGGACGCCAAUCACAAUACAAAAUGUAGUUAGAAAAGGAACAGUAAAAGAAACUCACUGCCCAGUUUGGAAGCAAUGCUAGUAUUGUUGGUGAAAGGCCACGGUACAAUCCCCUGAAGCCUUCAGUCCUAACUAUAUUCUGCAAGCUCGUGACAAUGACACUACCUAGGAGAAUAGCAAAGGUUAGGCUCAAGAAACAAUCACUCAACAAAUGCACCUCGUAAUUUAUUCAUACUAAAAUAGUUCUGCUAUAGUAGUGUUGCAUAUAUCAGUGAUACUUAGAAUCAGUGUUGUCAAAUAGCGGAUAUAGCGGCCCUAUAGCGCUAUAGUGUAGCAGAAGUUUGACAAACCACUAUUGUUCAGCGAUACAUGAUUUAGUACAAGGUGUUGUCAAAUAGUAGCAAGUGCAGUGUUGUCUAUGGUGGACGGCAGUCCAUAACUGAGAGCCAAAAUUCCGCCAUACCAGCUGCUAUGUGGCGCCGUCAUACUGUAUUAUGGCUAAAAUCCCGCCAUAUUGGCCGAAAUUGGGCAUCAUGGAAAGCCAAAAAACCGCCACUGCUAUCCGCCAUGGCCGAUAUUUGACAACACUGAGCUAUUGCAGCACUAAAGCACGAUUUGAACAAACUGCUAUGCUAUGUUCCGCUAUCCGCAAUUGACAACAUUGCUUUGAAUUGAACUAUUAUAACUCCUAAUCAAGUUUCAUCAAUACAAUAUACAUAAAUCCAACAUCAAUCUCAGCAUUGUCCAUGACCCAUUUACUAUGAAGUAUGGACACAGACACAAACACCGGACAUGACACGGAACACCGAUAAAAUUGUGAUAAAUGACACAAUUCAAUGUAAUUGCAUGUGUAGUUUCGGACUGUCGAGUCGAACACCGACAUGUGUCGAACGUCUUCGAUCAGAAGUGUCAGUGCUAUAGAGCCAAUUAAGCAAUUAACAAGAAGUGUACCUUUCUGCACAGGUGGAAGGCCAUGAACUUGUAGCCUUGUCUUGAUCACAUCCAAUGGACACACAAACGUGGCAGCUAUUGCCCCUAUAAUAACAUCACAAUGUCAAACCAACCAUUCUAGAAAUCACAUGAAAAACAUCACAAAAUUGAACAAACACAAAACCAGAAGAAAAAAAGUAAAAUUUUGAGAGAAACCCAUUAAAGAAAAACACAAAAAACGAAAAGGGUCGAAGCCAAAAAGAACAAAAAAUUACCAGCAGCAGCACCAGCACCAGCGUUGGAGAUUAAACCUCUGAUAUUAUGACUAGUACCAGAAUUUUGGCAAUUGUUACUCAUAUUAGAAUCUAAAAUCACCCUUUUAAUUGCAAUUUAACAAAGUUAAUUAACGAAUUAAAGCAACUUAAAUGGUGGAAGAAGCAAAUUCACAUGGUAGAUCUUAACAAAUUUAUCUCAUUAUAUAACAUUACAUAUGGUGAAGAAGAAGAAGAAGAAGAAGAAGAAAAAAGGGGGUGUAGAAAAAAGAGAAAAAUGAAAAGGGGUGUUGAAUUGAAUUUUUGAAGGUUGAAUUGAAUUGAAUUGAUCUAGGAAGGUGAGUUAAACGUAACGUGUAAUUUGGGAAUUAAGUGCGAAAUGAAAGAGCGUGGGAAUUUGUUCGGUUUUUUCUCUCUGGUUGAGUCGAAUUUGUACGAUGCAGAUGUCACUGUCACUCACUGUAAAUUCAUGAACCAGCUUUCAAUUGCCGACUCACAAAAUGAAUCAAACUUCAUCUUACUUUUUAAAUUUAUUAUUUUAGUCCUUAUCAAAAAUUUAUACUUUUCAUUUUUUAUCUUACUCUUAAAGUUUUUUUUUUUUUUUUUACGCAAAUCUUAUUCUUUAAGUUAAUUUUGUUUAUUUAUUUAGGUUUAAUACAUCCUCCGGUCCCUUAACUUAUUUUGUUUGUUCAGUUUGAUCUCUUAACUAAGAAACGUCUUAAAUUAGUCUCAUAUGUAUUCUUCUGUUACUUAUUGCGGUCCUCUCAAUUAGUAUUUUAAUAUCUAUAAUAUUUUUGAUUUGAUUUCAACUGUUUGAUUGCAAGUCCGUCGCAUACAGCACCGAACCUUCAACAUCUAAUCUUUUUUUUUUUUUUUUUUCAUCUUCUUAAUCUCCAUCAACAUUCAUAAAAAAAUAAAAGACCAUGAAAAAAAAUCCUUAAAUAAUCAACUUUUAAACCCAAAAGAAGAAAAUCAAUUUAUCACCCACCUCCAUCCCUUCAUCUCUCUCACAUCAGCAACACCAUUUUUUUUUAACAAUUUCCAUAUUUUCUAACAACAAUCUUUUUCAUCUUCUAAUAAUCUUCUCCAAAUGCAAAACCAUCAAAGUUACAAUCUCUAUUAGUAUCCUUGUGUGGUUUCCUCUUCUUGUUCCUUUCAUAAAUAACUUUCAAAAUUUUCAAUUCUCUGUAAAAUUUCAUCGUAUACCCAUAAACAUAAAAAUGAAGGGAAAAUAAAACCUUGUGUGGAUUUUCGAAUUCUGAUAAAAGAACCGUCUUCUUCAUUUUCGAAUUAUGGGAAAUUGUGAGAAUUGAGAAUUUUGAAUUCUGAAAAAUGAAAUUGUUGUUGGAAUUUUGAGAAUUUAAAUGGAGGGUUUUGUUGAAGUAGAGACAAGAUUUAAGGUUGUGGUAAUAGAGAGAGGUGGUGGUGGUGUUGACGAUGGAAGCGUCCUUGAGGAAGGAAUUGAGAAUGGGUAUUGAAUAAUAUGUGUUAUGGAUUUGAGUUCAAAAUUGAGAUUGAAUUUUUUGGGAAGUGAAUAGAGUGAUUAGGCUUUGGGUUUUUGUGUUAAGAGAGUGAAGGACAUGAUGGUAUGGUGAUUCAGGAAGAAGAAUUUUUCCAGAAGAAAAAAAAGGAGAAGAAAAGAUGAUGACUUACAUUGUUGUUUUUAAUCUUUCUUUUCUUAAAUUUGAGAAGAUGAUGAAGAAUUUAAUUUUAUUGUUUUGAAGAUGAUAAACAAAUUUUAUAUUUUUUUUAUUUCUAGGUUUUAAUGGUUGAAGAUUGAUGAAGGUAUAUGUAGAUGUUGUUGAAGAUGAUGAAGAAAUGAAAGGAAGAAGAUGAAGAAAUGGGAAGAAAUUGAUUGUUGGCGGUUCACUAUACGAUAUAAUAGACAUGUAUGAUCUACUGUUCUCAUUUAUAGACAAAAGAUCAAAGGGUUAAAAUUAAAAAUCUAUUAAGAUCUAUAGUGGACCACCUAUCAUGUUGGUUCACCUUAGAUAUAUAGGGUUAAAAACUAACGGAGAUGACCAAAAUAGUAAACGGCAGAAGAGUUAUGGGACCAAAAUAGUAAACGGCAGAAGAGUUAUGGGACCAAAUUGAGACACUUAAUAGUUAAGGGAUCAAAUUGAGAAAAUAAAAUAAGUUAAGGGGCCGGGAGAUGUAUUAAGUCAUUUAUUUAUUACUAAAGUAACAACGGGUGCUAAACAUGAGAAUAGGAUGGAUGAGGUUGUUAGCAUUCUACACACAGUUCAAAGAGUCGUGCAUAGCAAUGUUAUGUCUGUUAAAUCUAUGAAUGUUGUGUUUAUGAAGAUUGAUUUUGUCAUUCAAAAUGAUUUAGCGAUGCAACUAGUUGUUUGUUUGCUUUUUAUUCAUGUAUAAGUAAUUUUUGUUAAAACAUAUUAACUUUUUUUUGACAAACAUUAAAACAUAUUAACUUGUUAGAGGAUUUAUGUUAACUUUUGAUCUGACCUUUUUAAAAUCCUGAUCUAAUUUAUUAAUCGGUUUAAAAGUCUAAUUUAUUUUGAGGAUUUUAAAUAGAACAUUUGGUCUAUUUAUAAAAAAACUAUUACAUAAAUAAAAAAAUUUAGUGUCUAUACAUCCAACUAUUUUUUUUACUUUAUAUGCAUAUAUUGUCUAUAUAUCCAAUAAAAUUUUAUGGAACUUGUACAUCCAUUUUGUAUAGCCUAAUAAGCAUAUAUUGCAUACACUUAUCUAUUGCCUUGUUUUUACUUUCUGAUGCUCAUUGGGUUCUCUAUUUUGAAAUUUAAAAUGACAUGAGAAUGACAAAUAGUAAGAGAUUAAGUGUGUAACACCAAAAAGUAUUUGUAUUUGUUGGAAUUGGAAUAAGUGAGUAACACCAAAAGUUUUGUAACUCAUCAUCCCAAAGCCUACACAAAAGGACUGUCAGACCCAUUGAUCUCGAAACCUACUACCAAAACAAUGACGACAGUUCCUACAAUGAAUACCAUUUGGACACGGAAUCUGAAACUGUAACCACCAUGCUUGAUGAACUUACCACCUCUACUACAUUCUAUACUUGACGCAUUUACUUGAAUGUGAGAAAAACACAAAAAGAGGAUGUUGAACUGUGUUGGCUUUUUCAAAACUUUUUCUUUGUGUUUUAAAACUGGUCAGAGUAUGAUGAGUUCAAAGUCUGACUGAGACUUUGUUUGGAGUGGAUACAUCAAAUACAAAGAUAGAUAGAAAGAGGGAGAGACAAAGAGAUGGGGAGAGAGAGAGCAGACAAAAAUCAAUUUAUAUUGGUUCCUCCUACAAACCAUGACUAGUCCAGUCCUCUUGCACUUCCAAGAGAUUUCGCUAUAAUCUCACUAGAUUACAAUUGUUCAAAGACACUUCCAAAUGCUCAAGCACACAAGCAAGAGACUUCUAAUGCUCAAUCACAAUUGAAAGAGAUUUACACUGCUCAAGCACACAGGAAAAAGACUUCUAAAGGGUUACAAAUAAACAAGAUUUCUUCUUACACUUGAUAUACAAUCAGAGGUGUAAACAAUACAAUACAUAACAGACUCUUUGAUAAACACUAUUUUGUGAAAAUUGUUCAUAUUUGACUUAUAAUUAUGAAUUGAUAAAAGUUGCUUGCUGAAAGAUUAAUUAAAGGUACAAAACACAAGAAAUGAACUAAAAAUAUUGUUAAUGAAAGGGUGUGCCAAAAGGAAACGAAAAUUAUGUAUUGGGAUUAAUUUUGGCAAUGAAUUGAGUUGAAAAUGAGAAUUUGGUUUUGAAUUGGUGUUUAGGCUGAUUUGUGGUUUCAAACAAGAAAUGGAAUGGAGAGUUUAGGAACGCCACACUUUCUAAUCUUAGAAAAUGAUAAGUCUAUGGAAUGAAGUUCACCCCAAGAAAGGAUUCUUGAUAUGAUCAAUACAAGGUCCAAUCCAGAACCUAAAGAGCAAUUACUCACUUUUUUAACAAAAAUUAACUUGCCCUUUUUAUUCAAUUUCCGUGUCCUAUAUAUAGGUAGGAGGGACACUUGCCGAAUUAAAAAGAAAAAAUGCAAAUAACUCUUAAGAUUCCUUCAGCCAAAUUAAUCUAUCAUUAUUUCCUAUGGUUGAAGUAAAUUAACAUGAAUACAACAAAUGGUUACAAGACAAAUCAAUGAAUGAGGGUGGCUGGUCUUGAUGAUCAUGAUGAUGGACGUGAUUUUGAUGAUGAUGGUGGUUUCAUAUGCUGAAAUGAAAUGUCUUCAUUGUCUCAUUGAAGUCUUGUCUCUUUCCUCUUCAAUUCUUGCAUUAUUUUCUCCUUCAGAUUAAAUGCUCUUUAAUGUCUUGUUUUUCUUUUGUCUUCAGCACUCCUUUGCACGAAAUAAACACACAAAACAUUCCAUUUAAAGCUUUGGAAGCUUUAAAAUGGAUUAAACACACAAAAUAAUCAUACUUAGUGUUUUUGGGCUAAAAUAGGUCUCUUACACUUUUUAUUACAACAUAACAAGAACAACUAAAUAAAAUGGGCAGCAAGAGAUGCGCCCUACACCUCCUCCAAUGGUUUGAUGCACAUGACCAUUUUAUCCUCAAUGCUUUCUAGUGUAGGUUUGGACUCCAAGACUUUUGCCACCAAUUGAAGUCUUGUCUCUUUCCUCUUCAAUUCUUGCAUUAUUUCCUCCUUCAGAUUAAAUGCUCUUUAAUGUCUUGUUUUUCUUUUGUCUUCAGCACUCCUUUGCACGAAAUAAACACACAAAACAUUCCAUUUAAAGCUUUGGAAGCUUUAAAAUGGAUUAAACACACAAAAUAACCAUACUUAGUGUUUUUGGGCCAAAAUUGGUCUCUGACACUUUUUUUUUUUUUGAUAACAAGAGGGCCGAAGCCCGAAUAAAAGCAACUACCGCUUCACAAGACGCGGAGUUGAAAUACCAACAAAGUCUGCUAAAUAAAUAGAACUAAUCUGAGCUGGACAUUGCUCAUAUAAAAUCAAAGAAAAACCACUUUCACAAGCCAUAUUCGCCAUCACAUCGGCAUAAGCGUUGGCUUCUCUAAAGGAGUGACGAACUUGAACUUCCCAAUCUUGGUCGAUCAACCGUCGAAUAUUAUGUAGAAGAGUCAGACCACCCACAGUACCACCUUGAUCACGGGAUAUGGAAGAGACCACACUCGAAGAAUCUAUGUGAAGCUCCACUUUACGGUAACCAUGAGAACGAGCCAACUUCAAGCCUUCAAACACACCCCACAACUCUGCCACAUAAGCACUACAAGAGCCCAACCCUUUUGAAAAACCACAAAUCCAUUCUCCCUUAUCACCUCUCAACACCCCUCCACAACCUGCAUUUUGGCCACCUUUAGAAGCACCAUCUGUGUUAAGUCGAAUCCAGCCAAAAUCCAGAGGCCACCAUCGAAUUUCUUUCAACUCUCUACUAACUGUUACAAUUGCAGCAUUUAUACUAGAAUGAGCACCAUAAUUCAGGAUUCUUUGAUUAAUUACCUGCCAAGGAGAAGAAGGCAUCACAAAUUCAUCAUCAUGAACUAGCUUGUUCCUCCAAUACCAAAGAGUGUGACACGUCGUCGCCCAAAAUUCUGCCCACCUCUUCCGGUUUAGAUUCUGCUCUAUUCAAUCUCUCAAAUCUGUAGUAUAGAAAUUGGUACGAAAUUGUAAUUCAACAUAAUUUAGCCACACCGCCUCUGCCAAAGGACAAUCCCUUAGGACGUGCAAGGUUGUCUCGAUGGCAUCCCCACAAUGAUGACAGUAAAGAUUCCCUAUGUGCAUACGGUUGAACCUACUGCAUAUCAUUAGCCUAUCAUGUUUGAUAAGCCAAACGAAACUUUGAACUCUUUCCGGAACAUGAAGCUUCCACACUCGAUCCCAACGAUCUACAGCGCCACUCGUGUCAAAAUUGCAUAACACGUUAUAACCAUGAGCAACAGAAAAGUCCCUUGUAUUCCUGCCUGUACAAGCACUAAUAUCAUCCCCUUGCUCCGUCCGAGGAGGAGGAAUGGCACAAAUUUUUUGCAGAAUUUCCACUGGCAUCCACGUUUGAAGAUCACAAAAUUUCCACUCUCCACAAUCAUCAACAAGCUCUCCAACCUUUGCAUUUCUCAAAGAAGGAGGAAUGACAAUAUCCAAAUCACUAAUUUUCAACCCCGCCUCUAUCCAACACUGAUCCCACGCAUGGAUAACAUCACCAUUUCCUACUGACCAUAACACCAAACUCUCAAUUUUGGGCCAUAAUUGAACCAAAUUUUUCCAUAAACUUGAAUCAUUCGGUUUAGACACCACCUCAUCCAUCAACAAAUUAACCCGGUCAUAUUUUCCUUUGAGAACACUACACCAAAGAGCAUUAUCAACACUCUUUAAUUUCCAAACCAACUUUAACAAACAAGCCUGAUUCAUUUCUUCUAACCGUCCGAUGCCGAGUCCCCCAAGAUGCUUAGGUUUUGCUACAUCAUCCCACUUAACAGAAUGAAUAUGUUUCCUAACCUCAUUAUCCUCCCUAAAUAAAAGCCCGCUGCACUUUUUGGAUCUCUUGCACACAUGCUUUAGGAACAACACUAUUCAUCAUUGGAUAAAUAGGUAUAGCUCCAAUGACAGAUUUAGCAAGCGUCACUCUCCCUGCAAAAGAUAAUUGAUUACUCUUCCAUGCUGUCAGCUUGUUCCGCACUUGAUUAACUAAAUACUGAAAAUCUUUUCUCCUUGGAGCUUUUCCUGUAAGUGGCACACACCUAGAUACUUACCCAACUCUGUAGUCUCCCUGAAACCAGAUAUAUUAACUAAUAAUCUUCUGGUAACUCUGUCAACAUUACGGGAGAAGAAAAUGGUUGUCUUCUCAAUACUUAUACUUUGACCUGAUAGAUGACAAAAUUUAUUGAGAACUUCCAUCACUCCUCUCAUUUGACUGUCAGUUUCUUGACCGAAUAACAAUAAAUCAUCAGCAAACAUCAAAUGAGAAAUCAUUGGACCUGUUCUACCAGCUUUCAAAGCCAACCAAUCACCUCUAUCGACUGCCUCACUAAUAAGAUGGGACAAUUUAUCCAUGCAUAUAACAAAUAGAUAAGGUGAAAUAGGAUCACCUUGCUUCAAACCUUUCUUAGGAGAGAAAAAAAUCAGCACGGUUACCAUUCCAUCGAACAUUAGUUCUCACUGUCGUCACUGAAUGCAUAAUAACAUUAAUCAUUUCCAUAGGGAGACCAAUUUCAAGAAGCAUCAUAUGAAUGAAAUUCCAACUUAAAUUAUCAUAAGCUUUGGUGAGAUCCACCUUAAUAGCAAAAUACCCCAUUUUACUCUUCAAACGAUUCAUACAAUGUAUCAUUUCCUGAGCAACAACUAUAUUCUCAUGAACACUCCUUCCAGGAAUAAAGCCUAUCUGAAAAGGCGACACAAUUUCAGCAACACAAUUUUUAAGUCUAUUGACAAUCACUUUGCUCAAAAUUUUAUAAACUGUAUUGCACAAAGAGAUCGGUCUGAAUUGAUUGACAAAUUGAGGAUCUUGCACUUUUGGUAUCAAGCAAAUAUCUGUACUAUUGAUUUCUGCCAAUUGCUCCGGACUACACCAUAACUUCUUGAUAAAAUCACAUGUAUUUUUACCAAUAAUCGACCAAGAUUUUUGAUAAAAACAAGCCGGAAAACCAUCAGGACCAGGAGCCUUCCACGGUGUCAUGCUAAAAACCGCACUACGAAUCUCCUCGUCAGCAAGAGGAUGCCUCAAGAUUUCUAAAGUUUCCAAAUCAAGUCUGGGAAAAAUAAGACUUGUUUGAAACCAUUCACUGGUGUCAACAUUAGUAGUGAAAAGUUCAUAAUAGUACUUAUUAACCAUAUCUUUUACCUCUUCAACACUCUCCACCCAAUGGCCAUCAACAUUCCUAAGCAUAAUUAUUUUGUUUCUUCUCCUUCGCUGCACUGUUUUUAAAUGAUAGUACCUAGUGUUCCUAUCUCCAUCCACCAACCACUUAGCUCUAGAUCGUUGAAACCACAUGAGUUCUUCUUGUUGAAGAAUUCGAGACAUUUCUUUUUGAAGCUUCCUCUCCAACCUCAUCAAUCCACUAUGACCCCUUCCAUUCUGAAUUCUUCUCUGAAUACCAUUAAGUCUCGCCAUAAAUUCCUUCUUUUUUUUCUUGACACUAUCAAUAGAUUGCAGUUCCCAUAAUGGCACAUAGCUGCGGAAAUUAUCAAGAUUAGUCACCAUAUGCUCAUUCGGAUUCCACACCUUGGAUAACACCUCCUUAUAAAAAUCUUCAAGAAUCCAACUAAAUAAAAUGGGCAGCAAGAGAUGCACCCCACCCCUCCUUCAAUGGUUUGAUGCACAUGACCAUUUUAUCCUCAAUGCUUUCUAGUGUAGGUUUGGACUCCAAGACUUUUGCCACCCAUUGAGUUAGGGCCUCCUUAGCUUUCUUGGUCCUCGACCUUGUCAUUGGUCCUCCUAGCCCUUGAAUUGAAGCACUUGUGUCAUGGACAACCAUGCCCUCAAAGUUACAAACUUUGAUAAGAAAUUCUUAAGUGUCCUUAUGCGCUAUUUGAUUUUGGUAUAGUAAUGGCACAAUAAAAAUAGCAGAGUGUUGUUAUUGUUCUUCAAGCCUUCAGCUCCUUAUAUAGGCAAGGAUUUGAAAGAUGUUUGAGAAGAAUGUCAGCGCAUUAAGAGUCGUUGAGAAGUUUCAAAUCAAGAACGUUAACCCUUUGUCUGAUAUAUUGAUAAUUCUGUUGAUUAGACAUUUGAAAUUCCUUUGCAGAAGGAAUUAUCCGUUCAUUCUAUUUGUCCUUGAAUUUUUUUGUUUGUUUCUACACGUGGUCAGAAGAAGAUAAACUGUACUAUCAGACUUUGAUAGAGAAAACUACAAAAUAGGACAAAUUAGACGUGGAGUCUGGGUCCCUCAAGAUCUUCUGUACUUAUGAGUCUAGAGGUCUUCCGAGUCUACUCACUCAUGAUCAUUGUAGACAUCGCAUUAAGGUAGAGAGACAUGAAAGUAAAAGGCAUAAAAAUAAAUUACUGGAAAUGUAAAGUGCUGGAAAAUAAAGUGCAGAAAUAUAAAGAACAAGAACUAUAAAGUGCGGAAAAAUAUUCCAAGAUGAUUUCCAUAUCUGAUAUGAGGCCUAUUUAUAGUCUAAAAUCAUAGACAUGUCAUUAAAUUCGAUUUACAAGUCUUAAAUUAGAAAAUUGCAAAAGUUUGUAACAACCAUUUUCUAACAGCACAUGACGCACGGUUGUGCAUGCCUUCAAAACUAUUAAACUUUUGCAAACUUUGAAGGCCCCACGGUCGUGCUAGGUAGGCGCACAAACCGUGCUAAACUCUCAGCAAUUAACUCAGACCUCUUCAAACAAGGCACACGGUCGUGUGCCCUGGACGCACUCCCGUGUGUCCUUUUUCAGUUGUUGAAAAUUCCUCCUUUUUUCAUUAUUUUAUCUAGAAAAUGAAAACUAUUGUUUUGUAGUAAAAUAUCUCUAAAGUAAGACCAAAGUUCCACAAAUAUAAUUCAAAUGCUAAAAAAGUAACAGCCUAAUUUUUGCUAGAAUUAUUUUAAUUAAUUAUUAUGUGUGUCUAUAUGUUCUUGUAUGUGAUUAUUCGUCUCUGUGUGUAUUUUAUUCAGGAUUAGUUUGGCUUAAGAAGGGCAAUUUAGUCAUUUCAGACUUAAGGGCAUUUUGGUCAUUUGGUGAACAAGGGUAAUAUAGGCUUUUGGUUAUGAGAGUUUUUUUUAGCGUUUUAAGUGGGAAUGAUUAUUUGUACUAAGUUAUUAAUGACAUGAAGUAAUUAAUUAGAGACGAUAAUUAUUUGUUAUUUAACGGUUAAGUGAAUAGUAACUCGGUGAAUUAGUUAGUAAGCCCAUUAAGACAACUAGUGUUUUAGCCCAUUUGUGUAGUGACUUUAUAAACACAAGUCUUAUGCUAAAUUAGGUCAUAACCUUCAUUUUACUCAUUUUCAAAAACAUUUUAAGAUAGAGGUAGAGAGAGAAAUGGGAUCUUGAAGAGCAAAGAAGAACUAGAGAGAGAAAGCUUGGGGUUGGUGGAUAGUGUAACGCCCUAGCCGUUAUUUAAUUAUUUCUGAUCUAUUUAGAGUCUUUUUUUAUGAUUUUAAAUAAUUAUUGUUGAUGUUGUGGUGUGAUGUAUUUUAUUAAAUGAUUUAUUUUUAUUAUUUAAUAGAAUAAGUGGAGAAAUAGAAUUAUUUUGGGAGUUUGGGGUUAAAUUAGAAUUAAUAGGGUUUAAGAGGAGUUAAGUAAUAUUGGGAGGUUACAAUAAGUUAAAAAAAAUAUAGAAACUGUCAGUCAGAAGCAUUUUCAUGUACAACAGAGUUUUGGGAGAAGGCAAGAGAAAGCUAAGAAGAGAGCCAAGUGAAGAGAACCGGAUUUUCUGUAGAGUUCUGUCCUUCAACCUAAGAAAAAGAAGAAGAAGAAGAAGAAGAAGAAGAGGAGGAGGAGGAGGAGGAGCAGUAGAGAAGAGUAGAGGAAGAGGAAAGCUCACAAUUUUAAUGAAGUCCAUAAGGUAGACCUUGGAGGUGAAGGUGUUGCAUCAUGUAUCAGAACAUUUGAUUAUUUUAUUCAUUUAUUUGAUUGCCCCUUAGGACAUCGUUUCUUAGCCCGAUCAUUUCAACACCUUGUCUUUGUUGCUCGGUGCAUGUUCUUUGAACUUCGGUUUGCAUCCAUGCCCACCGUUCAUCAUUAUAGUUUCCAUCGGCUUCUUGUUAAUGGUGCAAGUUUGCACCUACCUCAUUUUCAUCACCACCAUCAUUGUGUACUUGUGGAUAUUGAGGUGUUUGAACGGGUCCUUGAAAGGCGGUUUGAAGAACACUAGAUAGGCUCAAGAUGAAGAUGCUUUGGAAGGGUAUGUAAAUGCGAACUAUGCGGGCAAUGUGGACAUAAGAAAAUCUUUAUUGGGUUUUGAGUUUACUUUAUAUGGCACAACUAUUAGCUGGAAGGUAAAUCAACAACCCGUGAUGGAUCUACCUACAACUCAAGAAGCGUACAUUGCCCUUCUUGAAGGGGUGAAGCCAUAUGGUUGAAAGGUAUGAUUGGUGAGUUAAGAAUUAUUACAGUAAGUGUACUGAUAUAUUGUGAUAUGUAAAGUGUCCUCCAUUUGGUGAAUCAUCAAGUGUAUCAUGAGAGGAUAGAGGACAUUGACAUUCACCUGCACAUUGUUAGAGACAUGAUUGAAUUUAAAGAGAUUGUGGUUGAGAAAAUUGUAUUGGAAGAAAAUCUGGCGGAUGCAUUCACUGAGUCAUUGCCGAGAUCAACGUUCAAGCAUUUUUUGGACUUAAUAAAUUUUGUUGAAGAGUAAUUCUUUAAUGGAGAGAGCAACAAGGUGGUUGAUGGUUAAAUUAACAUUAUCGCCAAUUUAGAGUCAAGGUGGAGAAGUGUGGCAUAUUGACUCAACAUUUGAAGUUCUUAGUAUCAUCAAGACAUUUCGAUAUUGCUUGUAGAACCUAAUGUGAUCAACGUGAAUAGUACGAAGAAUAACAAAUAGGCACUCAAUGUUUCCAAAAAUGAAAAUAUAAAAAGGUUAAAAAAAAAAUAGAAUCUUAUAACGGUCUUUUUGGAAAGAGAAAGGAAAGUGCGGGUUGUAAAAUCCACAAAACUCACCAAAACAAAUAUUCUUAAAAACUAACCGUCCUCUCUCUCUAAGUUCUUUGUUUGUUCGCAAGAUUUUAUUGGUAACACAAACAACACACAACAAACAAACAUGUCCCACAUAACCUCCCAAUGGCAACCGAACUUCCGCCAUGUUUCAAAUGGCCGUUUUUUGUUGUGUAUGUUGUUUUUGGUUGGGUUUACUGCUUUUGUUGUGUGCGGCGUUCAUUCUAAUGAUAUGAUUGGUCGAUUGGUUCUACUACCGCUGCCGGGAUGGAAGAAGAGCAACAACAACGGUGGAAGCCCCACACUCACAAGCCUCCUGAAAUUGUAACUUGUAAGUAAUGUUGUAAACAUGACAAGUGCCUUUGAUGUUCUUCUUUGUAAAAAGAUGAACAUGCAAUUAGCACUUUGAGGAAGCUCAUACAAUGUAAAAAGACAUUGAAUAGCUAUCUCCCGAACAAGCCGCACAAGGGGAGAAAAAGAAAUCCACCAUUAAUAUCGUUGUUAAUUUUGAUCGCUCUAAGCAUCACUGAAUAAGUUUGAGAAACCUAAGCUCUUUUGAAUAAUCUUGUCUUUUAAGUCAGACAAGUUUUUGUACUUUCUUAAGUUACAGCCAAAAAUAACGAGUUCAUGCAUGUCUUUCUGGCGUAAAUUUGUCUAGAUUAUUCAAACAGACAAAAUGUUUUAAGAGGCAACGAAGUUCCUUUAUGACACAAAUAAAGUCGGCAUGUUUUAGCAGUAAAUAAAUUAUACCGUCUUAUGAGAGUAGUCCGCAAGCUUAAUUAGACAGUUGAUGAUAAUAUGUACAUUCUCAAUGACAGCUUCUUGUCCUGCAUGUAUGAACAUGGUUUACGGAAGACAACAUUUACCGGUCAUUCUUUCUCGCCAAAAAUUACAGGAUUGUCGUCAUCUUCAUCCAAUCACAUUAACGACUAGAAUGCUAAUCCUUUGUGGAAAGACAAGUAGAAGAGAGACAAUAUACAACACAAUUGCAGUAUGAACUCCUCUGCGCCUCCAUUUUCAAGGAUCCUGCCCGGAUUCAAUUCAAAAUAUCAGAUAUAUCAGAAAUUUUGGCAAAAGUUCAGCAACUGACGAUCCUAUAAAUGAGGCACAGGACAAACUCUAAAUUUUCCACUCAACAAACCAUAUGAAGACUUCUUGUCUCAAAAUCAAGACUAUCACAAAGAUAAAAAUUCUAAUUUUCUUUUACUCAUCAAAGCGCUUUUUUUGCUCGGUGUUGUGUUCAAGCUCAGACAGAUAAAAACAGAAGCUCUAUUAUAUUUGCAAUGUAAGGUAGCUCAAUUAGUAGAUUUAACUGUGAAGGUUUUAAAACUUUUGGUUUAUUGUGAAGAAGAGGAACAAACAACCCUUUUUUUUUCAAAGUUCUCUUUGACCUUCUUACUAAAAAGUUUAUUUCUUCUAUCAAAAUAAAUAUGCACGUCACAAGUUCAUGAUACAACUAUUUAAGAGGAGCUAGUACCACUUAACAAAGCACAAGUAAAAUCAUCAAAAAUAAACAAAGAAAGUGUAUGUAGAAGAAAAUGUUAUACUAAAAAAAAUAAAAGAAAAAAGCAAUCACCUCCAAUGUAAAAGAGAAAUAUGGCUCCCCCAAAUAGGGUGCGGUUAUGGUGCAUAAGGAAAUGAUUUUGGAGUACAACUCACAUAAACCAUUUCCACAAAAAAAUGAUUUUGGCAUAAUUUUAUGCAGGGUGCUGAAAAUCCUUAUGCAGGGUGCUGAAACCAUUAAGUACAUCUAAUGGUUUUGGAGUACAACUCACAGAAACCAUUUCUGGAUUUAUGCAGUGUGCAUAAGGAUUUCCUUAUGCACCAUAACUGCGCCCCCCAAAUAGGUAUUUAUGGUGUCUUUUAAUGAAGACAAAAUAGCGUCGGUAUAUUUUGCGAUUUUCUCUGAUCCAUACUUUGAAGAGCACAGUAAGGAAUCAAUCUGAAUUCAUAGAAAACCAACACACUGGAAAUUAUAAAUGGUUAUGUUUUCUCUUUAAAAAAAAAACAAGGUAUGAUGGUUAUUACCGCUAUUCAGAAGAAGGAGGGGAACAACAAAUGGCUCAAAAAGAGGUGUAGAAGAGAAUGCAUGCUGCAAAAAAUUAAUAUAAUUAGAUCAUAUUAUAAAAUAGAACUUGAAUAACAUAUACUCGUGAUUUUUUAUAUGUAAAAUAUAUAAUAUUGUAUCAGAUUUCAAUUGCAUUUGAGAAAUAUUGAAUAUUCUUUCCCAUUUUCAGAUGAUAGUAAUCCCGAACAGCAUGAAAUGAAUCCCCAUGCGCACAUAUGUAUAUGUAUAUUUUCAUUUUGCUUCCUUUAUAAGGUAAGGGAAGCUGAAUAGGAGGAGAAUGGAUCAGCCUAAAGAAGACAACAAUAAGUAACAAAGUUUUAUCCUCCAAAAAAAUGCAGAAAAAUAUGUAUAUCAGCCUAAAGUAUUGCUCGGUUCCAUUCUAUCCUCCAAAAAAAUGCAGAAAAAUGUGAUCCAGGACAUGAAGUUUUAUCUGGGAAAAGCACUUCAAAUGAGAAAGAUGGAACAAAGAUCGAUUUGUUAAAGUCUAUCUGUACGAAAGCAACAUAACUCUAUGUUGAUUUUGGUAAUCAACUACAAAUCUCGUAAAAUAUUACUUGAAUCCUAGCAAUUUCCGUCUACCAGAAUGCAUUAAAAUGAAAAAUGAAUGGAAAAGUGAGGUUCUAAAAGAUAAAAAAACAUCUCUAGCAAAGCUUGCAAGUAGACCAUAUAGAUCAGGGUAUAAUCGUGCCAAAGACUCGACAAUAUGAAAAACAAGCAUUAGACAUUCUGGUUCCUUUUCUUCAUCUAUAGCUUCACAAAUUCCAAAAGAGCAGUGCUAUAUACUGCGAGAAAAAUUCCACGAACAGAUCGCGAAGGCAAUAUUAACCAAUGACAAAACAUGAUUUAGCGGAAUUCAUGGAUGAUCAUGAAAACGUAGAGGUCAACAGAAACGGUACCUUGGUGGAAUACACCUUCGUGAUGGGGUCGUGAUAUAAUUAUACGCAAUAAACAACAUUUCCGAUUCCAAAAAUAAGGACAUCGUCCUACAAGAGAGUUAAGAAAAAGAGUGUUAUAAUAUCACCCUUCUUAGUCUUCAUUCAAUCACUUUUUCCCAUAACUUCAUGGUAUGACUCAUUAGCUUAAUUCCCCUAUAAGAAGUAAUAAUCACACGCCAACAAGAGUAAACCCUGAUUGUUUUGUCGAAGAGAGCAAAACUAUCUAAAAACAAACCUAAUCUAACAUUAUGAGGAUCUCGAGAAAAUUUAGGCCAUGUUUCAUCAAAGUAUUUCCAAGCUUCUAAAUUUGGCAAUGUGAAUGAGAUAAAGAACUGUUCUACCUUUCCUUAUCAUGAUUAAAUCUCAUUUCACAAGGUGUUUGUAUUGCAAAAUCUUAUAUUCCUCAAUAUACAACCAUCUAGUAUUCCCUUUUCCAGUGUCAUCUUUAUAAUGUGUUGGAACAUUGGUGUGAAGUUGAAAGGAAAUUGUAAGGUUGGAAGAUUAAACACCAAGGAAUUAGAUUAUGAUUUAGUGUUGUGUGAAUUGAAAAAAUAGAGUGUGAAAGUCCACAUAAAAUAGAACACAUGUUUAAAUUAUGGUAUUUAAUUAUUAAAUACUUUUUUUAAAGAGUAAUUAAAUACUUGAUAAUGUUAAAAAUAAUAGUAAUUAUUAUUUUUUAUUCAUGGUAUCACUUUCCAUAGUUUUAGUUUAUGUUGUUUGUGAUAAGAAUGUGAAUCCAAUUGAAUAUCUUAUCUUUCCUUCAUUCAUACCCAAUUAGUUUGUUCCAUCUUUUACUAAUCUAAAAAAUCUCAUCAGGAACAAAGUAGCUCUUCUAAAUGUUCCUCUCUUUCCAUGAAGGCUCUCGAAUAAUUGGAUUCUAACAAAUGAUAACUUAGUUUAAUGGGGUAUUUUAGAUAUAGACACAUUUUCAAAGGAAAAUGUAAAAUAUUUGUAUUUUAAGCGUGAAUUAUUUGGUAGCAUAUGACAUAAUAUUUUAAAGUGGUUGGAUAAUCUCAAUAGUUCUUUUAAUCAAACAAUUGAAUUUUUAAACAGAAAAUGUAUUAUAUAUAACAUUAAAUUUCAAAAUAUAAAAAAAAAAUUAAUUUUAAUACCAUCGGCUCAAAAAAAAGAAAAAAAAAAGUAAUGUAUCCAUCCUUAUUAGAAGAUAAAACAAUUGAGUUUUAAAUUAUAGCGACCUUCAUCAAAAAAAUGUUUCAUACAAAAGUAAUGUAUCCAUCCUUAUUUCAUAGGUUGGAAAGUCUUUAAUAAUUCAUCAAUUGGUACGUCCAUUGCAGAUACCUAAAAAAGUAAAAAAAAAAAAAAAAAAAAAAAAAAAGAUGAUUUCUCACUAAAAUGACUUAAAAUACAUAUGAAAUUGGCGAUUUCGAGAUGAAAUAGAAUUACAUGAACUUAAAUACAAAAUGUUCUUCAAAUCAUAAGUAACUUCUAUAAAAUUUUCGGUUUGAUUUGCACCCUCAUAAAAUUUUAUUUUCCAUAAAACACCCUUAAUAGGCCAUUCAAAAACCAUAAUUUCUUGAAGAAAAAAAAAAUCUGAAAAUGGCCUAGAAGAGGUGUUUUCCGGAAAAAAAUAAUAAUUUACGAGGGUGCAAAUCAAACCGAAAAUUUUAUAAGGGCGAAAACCGAAAAUGACAUAUAUUACAGGGGUGAAAAACACUAUUAACCCUAAAUUUUUGUAAAAAAAAAAACAAUUAUUUAUUCUAAGGAUCAACAAUAUUUUGAAUGAAAUUAAUUAGGUACUUUUUUUCUAAAUAAGCUAUCUAUUUUUGUCUUUACUUCACAACAUUUGAUUCCAAAAAUCGGGGAGAAAUAAAAUGGUUAAAGUGAAUGUUAUUAGUUUUGUGUAUGUCUAUAGCAAGGGAUUGUGACUUCCCCGUGUGAAUACGAUACAAAAAAUUGUUAGGAAGUACCUCUAAAUAUGCCCUUUUAUUCAUUAGGUGAUAGCACCUGAGGCAAGAUUAAUUAAUGCACGUCUUAUAAUAAUAUAUAUCUCGUGUGAAUUAGAUUUGACUUCUAAAUAGUAAUUUUUUUAAUUGCAUCCAAGCAUAUCUGCACUAGAAGAAAACAAACCAAGUGGAUCUUCUCUUUCCAUUGAAAGAGAGAAAAAAAUAAGAUAGAGAAGGAAAAUUGAUGAUCAAGUGGAGAGGGAGAAAGUUCUUAAUACUUUGAAAACAACUAUUUCUAGCAAUUUUUUUUUUUAGAGAAUUUCUUGCAAUUUGUUGUCAACAAGUGAUAAUGAUCAAUCACUAAUAAAAUAAGAUAAGUUCAUCAUCACAAAAUUAUUAUAUGUUAAUAUAAGACGCGACAAUGAAUCCAUAAAUGUUUUAGAAAUGUAAAAUUGCAUAUUAGAAAUUUCCAAUUACACUCAUGAUAUUUUUUCAUGAUUAAUGUUCUUAAAUAAAUGUAUCAAUGACGUUAAAUGUGCAAAAUAUUAGCGAUGGAUUGCUAAAAAAUUUCAAGUGCUUAUUUUUUUCAUCGUACUAUUAAAGUAGUAAGUUAAUCAUUACUACUCUGAAAACCAAAUAAUUAUUUCCUCUCUUUGGUCUAUGGGUGCAACAAAGUUGUUUAAAUUAAAGGAUCGUAAUUACAUAAAAGAUAUGUUUGUUACAAGUUUAUUAGGAUAAAACUUACUAACCGUUGUUACACAUUUUGACUACGAAAAUUACUUUUGUAAAUAUUCAAAUAAAAAAACUUCAAAAGAAAUAUAAAGGAUUAAUAAAAAAAAAAUCCAUACCUUAUUUAAUAAAGGAUAUGAUAUCUUAUCAAGCUCUAAUAAACUUGAUAUUAUAGAGGAAGAUCAAAAAUGUAAUUACUAUUGUCGAAUUCAAGAACAUGAAACUAAAGAAGUGUUCAAAUUGGUGAGUAAGGAUAAUUCAGUUGGACCAGACAACAUACAUAUUUAAGAGUGGAAAUUUCUUGGAGAUAUAGGCAUUGGGUAGAUCACCAAACUUAUUAACAAAUUUAUGAGGUCAAUCAAAAGUUUUGGAUGUGUUGCAAGAAUCACUUUAAUUCCAACCUAUAAGAACAAUAUGGAUACACAAACCUUUAAAAGAUUUACAAAAUUAUGCAAGUUAUUGGAGGAUUAAAAUUAUUAUUCAUACCAUGAAGUUAUGAAAGGCUAAUUAAACGAAGAUUUAAGAAAAUAUACUAAAGUUAUUGAUGGUGUACUAGAAGAACCAACCCGAAAUUAAACUAAGUGUGGUAAAGAUGAAGAGGUUGUGUUGAAAGUGUGAUAAAACUAAACGUGAUAUGACUAGAAAUGACAAUAUUAAAGAAAGGGUAGACUAAAUGAAGUGGAUUCAAAUCACUAGAAGAAAGAUCUUGAAAUUAUCAAAAACCUUUUAAUUUUUUUGUUGUUGAAGUUAGCGAGCUGAAUAUAAAUAUGGUAUUUGAUACUCCAUAUUAUGGGAUAAAUGUAGUCGAUCUCAUUUAUGGGAUAAGUUUCUUCUUUGUUGUUGUUAACCCUCGGAGUCUCAAGGGAAAUAAGCCUUAAUAAUUCGGAGUAUGAUCUAAAGGUAAACAAAGUCGAGCAUAGAAUUGUUCCAUCUAAGAAUCAAACUCAUGUUUUCCUGACUAAUUCGUUUUUGGUGAAGCUCAUUAACCGCUUGAUUUUUAUUGGAUAAUAUUUGGUUUUAGUUGUUGUAUUUAUUUUAAUAUUUAUGUAUAUUAUUACAAUAUAAAUGUAGUUGAUAUUUUUAAUUCAUUUUACCAUGUUUAAACUAAUAAUAUUUUUUUUGAAGGUUUUAAACUAAUAAUAUGAUAUUUAUUCUUGUUAAAAAAUGAACAAUUUGAACAAAAACAACUUAAAUUUAAAAAUUAUAAAAUUUAUUCAUAAGAAUAAUAAUGUAAAAUAAUACUUUAUCUUAAUAAUAUUAGAUAUACGAAUAAUGUUUUUUUAUAUUAAGAUUUAUUCGUGAGUAAUAAAGUUAAUAUUCUCUUUCUCAUACUCAUUCAAAUGUCUAAGUUUAACCACUUGAGCUACGUUUUGGAAAUUAGCAUAACUUACUAACAACUAACAUUUAUCUAUAAAAACCAUAAUCACAAUUCAUGCAAUUUUAUUUUCACACCACAAUUGCAUAUGCGGCCGCAACAUUAAACCAUCAAGUUAACUAUAUCCAUUCAAGCGUUAAAAUUUAGCUAGCGUUAUGAAGUCGCAAAAACUUCCCCUUCAUGUGCAAAAUGAGCUUGAACUUCUCUUAAACCUCAACCAAAAAUAAUUGGGUUAUAGAUCCAACCUCAAAAUGGUGGACAACUUUAGCCUAACAUGUGUAACAAGAAAGCCCAAACGUUGUUUCCAUCUUUGUAAAGGAAGAGACAAACCAUAUUUUAUUUUUGCAAAUCUUAUUUUAACAUAAAUUGAUCUUAAAAUUUAUUUAAAAUAUAUAUUUGUUUGUGAAAUAUUUAUAAUUGACUUUUUACCCCAUGCAUUGCAGGGGCUCCUACACUAUUUAAAACUCCGAUCGAAUCUUGAAUUCAGGUCAAAUUAAAAACAAAAUCUCAGUGUGGGGUAUGUAUGAAAACAAGAAAUUAACAAAACCAACCGCACAAGUUUCAACACUCUAUUUCUUCUACUAGUUCCUAAAUCCUACUAUUCUUUUCCCUAACUCUCACUCACUCCAACAAUGGCACAACCACCUUCUCCUUCCACCAUCUUCACACUAACCUUCUUCCACUUCCUCCUCUUCACUCACGCCACAAAAAACCCAGAUUUCCACUCACUACUUGCAUUCAAAACAACCACCGACACAUCCAACAAACUCACCACAUGGAACAUCACCACAAACCUAUGCACAUGGUACGGUGUCUCUUGUCUAAGAAACCGUGUCUCCCGCCUUGUCCUCGAAAACCUCGACCUCCACGGCUCGAUGGAACCGUUAACCGCACUUACUCAGCUCCGUGUACUCAGCCUUAAACGCAACCGUUUCAACGGUCCCAUUCCAAAUCUCUCCAACUUAACUUCACUAAGACUUUUGUUCCUUUCUUACAACAAUUUCUCCGGUGAGUUUCCCGAAAGUUUAACCUCGUUAACCCGUCUCUACCGGCUUGAUCUCGCUGAUAACAAUCUCUCUGGUGAGAUUCCGGUGAAUGUCAACCGUUUGUCUAGUCUCCUCACUCUCAAACUCGAUGGAAAUCAAAUCCAUGGACACAUUCCAAAUAUAAACCUGUCUUACCUCCAAGACUUCAAUGUCUCUGGUAACAACCUCUCUGGUAGAGUACCUGAAUUACUUUCGGGUUUUCCUGAUUCAUCUUUUGCUCAAAACCCGUCUUUAUGUGGUGCUCCAUUGCAAAAAUGUAAAGACGUUCCUGCCCUUGCUUCAUCGUUGGUUCCAUCUUCUUCAAGUAUAAUGUCGAGAAACAAGACUCAUAGAAAUGGUGGUCCAAGAAUGGGGACUUUGGUUUUAAUCGCCAUUAUCCUCGGCGAUGUAUUAGUACUCGCAGUUGUCUCAUUGCUUCUCUACUGCUACUUCUGGAGAAACCAUGCAAACAAAACGAAGGAAAGAAAAGAAGAAGAAUCAAAUUCGAAGAAUGUUGAAGGUGAAAAUCAAAAGAUGGUUUAUAUUGGGCAACAAGGGUUAGAGAAAGGUAAUAAAAUGGUGUUUUUCGAAGGGGUGAAGAGGUUUGAGCUAGAGGAUUUGCUUCGUGCUUCGGCGGAAAUGUUGGGGAAGGGUACCUUAGGAACUGUCUAUAAAGCUGUUCUUGAUGAUGGAAGUGUUGUAGCUGUGAAGAGGUUGAAGGAGAUUAAUAUUAGUGGGAAGAAAGAGUUCGAGCAGAGAAUGGAAAUUCUUGGAAAGUUAAAACACUCCAACAUUGUUAGCUUAAAGGCUUAUUAUUUUGCAAGGGAUGAAAAAUUGCUUGUCUUUGAUUACAUGGUUAAUGGUAGCUUGUUUUGGCUUCUUCAUGGUAUGAUUUCUUUUCUUUCUCAAUAUUUUUUGGAUAAAAUUCUCUUAUUUCAUUUUAAUGCAUCUUUCUUUCUGCUAGUUCAAAUUUUAUUUUUGUUAGUAGUUACUGUGAAGUUUAUUGUAGUCUGGUGCUGUUCAAUGCAGUGGUUGCAUCCAUUAUAUUGCUGCCUUAUGCAAUAUAUUUUUGUGAUUUACAAUCACAAUGUACUAUUGCAUGCGGAUUCGGUUGCAUUGCAAUGCAACCGCAACUACAGAAUUGUGGCCGCAUCAUGAAAUGUACUCCACAAUUCUAGUAUCGUGAUCGGCUGUAACUGCAAUAUUGUGGCUGUAUCAUGAGAUGCGCUACAAAAUUGCAGUAUUGUGGCCGGCCACAUUACCUAAUGCGGUCCAAUAUUUAAAACAUUGCUUGUUUGAUUGCCAAAUAGUACAUAGUGAGUGAGGCUAGUUAUAAAAGUCAAUGACCCUAAUGACUAGUUUUUUAUUUUCUACCUUAAAAUCAAUCUUCUUCUUGCCUUUUCCUUACAACCAAACAAACCUAAACAAAAUUGAAAAUACCUAACAAUCUCACCUAAUUAUUCUGUAAUGAUGGUGUAGUGACUAAUGAGCAAGAGACCCAUACAUAUGUAGGGUACCUAGAUAGAUCCACAUAGGGGACCACCUUUGAUUAUUUGAAGUUGGACCAUGUGAUCAUAAUAACUAGUUCUGUUUUGAGCACAACAAUAUCAACAAAAUGUCCCUAUCGAUCCUUCCAUGUUCCAUCCUUAAUUUGUGUCACCAAUUGAUACAUAUCAAAGAAUUGUGAACUCUGCAGAUGCUGCAUUAUCAGAGAAUAGGAACUACUACUAAUGUACUAUUCAGAGACUGUUCAACCAACUGAAUUUGAUUCUUUUCUUUUGUGAAAAGAAAAGACAAAGAAUAAACAUUUUUUUUUUUUUAUGUAUUUUGCUUUUGCUUUUUUGUUGUUUUUAAGAACCACCUUUGGCUUUGUGUUUUCACUAUUAAGACACGGAAAUUAGAAUAUUUGAAUGUGAACAAAAAGGGCAAAACAAAAUAGGUUAAUUGGCCCUACCUUGUAAUACAAAAGGUUCAAUACUAAUAAUGGCAAGUUGACAUGUAACCAUUUCUUAUAAAAAAUGGUGGGUUGAAAUGUUGAGAGAGAGAGAUUUUUUUGUAGGGGAUUAAGAGAGAUUAAUAUUUAUAGAAAAUUGGAAAAACAUAAUUUUAUAAUCAUUUUUAAAAAUAAAUUUUAGUAUUUAGUUGAGGGUGAGGAUUGUUCCUUUAACCUCUCAUCACUCCAUUUCUUAAAUUCUCAAUCCAAUCAUAAAGUAAACCUUGUAUCCUCUAAGUUAAGACAUUUUUCUUCUUUUUGGUUUAUCAUGUUACCGAUAUGAUAUUUUCACCGCCGUUUAGGAAUGAUUAUUCCUCGUUGAGGAACACAUACAUACAAUAUGAGUUCUCUCCUCUCAACUAGAUUUUUUCAUACGUAAAUGUCGUGAUCGAAUCCUUAACCAUUUGUUUAAGAGGUCUGAAUCACUUAUCAUUUGAAUCAAUCUAUUAUUGAUAUCAUUUUUUUAAUUAAUACACAUUUGUAGAAUGUAGAAUCAAUAAUUGAAUGAGUGUUAAGAUCAUAUCAACAUUCAAUAUUUCAUAUCUAUCAAAUAGGAUUACCUCAUGUUAAAAUACUUAAGGAACAUUAAAAUUAAAAAAUGUGAAAUAUUAAUAAGAUGUUAUGAUGUCUUUAAAUAAUUAUAUUUUGAUUGCUAAUAACACCUCCUAAAGAAAUCCUUCACUUUAUUAAAAUGGAACCUUGAUGACUUAAUUGUUAUAUUUUGUGACAGGUAACCGAGGACCCGGACGAACCCCACUUGACUGGACCACAAGACUAAAGAUAGCAACCCAAACAGCAAAAGGUAUAGCAUUCAUCCACAACAAUAAUCUCACCCAUGGUAACAUCAAAUCCACCAACAUCCUCAUCAACGUCUCUGGAAACACCCACGUGGCAGAUUUUGGACUCUCCAUUUUCACCCUCCCAUCAAAAACAAGAUCCAACGGCUACCGUGCUCCAGAAACAUCAUUAGACGGUCGAAAAAACUCUCAAAAAUCUGAUGUCUACGCCUUUGGAGUUUUACUAAUGGAGAUACUAACAGGGAAGUCCCCCUCCUCCGCCGCAGACAGCGGAGCAGGGGUUGAACUUCCUAAGUGGGUCCAGUCAGUCGUUAGGGAGCAAUGGACUGCUGAGGUGUUUGAUCUUGAGCUGAUGAGGUAUAAGGAUGCUGAGGAGGAGAUGGUGGCAUUGUUAAAAAUUGCGAUGACGUGUACUGUGACCGUACCUGAUCAACGACCUAAGAUGAGCCACGUGGUUAAGAAGAUUGAGGAGUUGUGUGAUGUGUCCAUGUGUCAUGACUCGGUUUGUGAGUCACCUUCAAUGUCUGAAGAUGCAUGUGGAGGUGCUAUUAACUAAUCUUAUCAAAGAUUAUUACUAAGUAGUAUAAGUAAAUAAACCAAAUUAUUAUUAGUUUAUCUUUGUUUUUCAAAUGUUACAUGUCACUUAAUUUUAUUUCAUAUAUUAUAUUUUUAAAUUAUAGUCGUGGUUAUGUUGCAAAUCUUUAUAUUUCGUGAACUUCAGAAAAAUGUGAUCAUGUGGCCGCAAUUUGAUUACAAUGGCUUUGCAUAAUCAUCGAAAUUAUUUAUAUAACUAUGUUCCUAUAUUGUCUAACAUUUUUCUCCAAAAAGAAAAAGAUUUUAUCUAAUAUUUUACCUUAGUGCUAUAUUGAUAUGUAUGAUAAAAUUUCUUGCAAUGAAUUAUGCCAAGUAAAGCAAUGUGACAUAACAUUUUGAUAUAGAAGUAUAAUAUCGUGCAUUUUUAUAGUUGGUGAAGAUUUAGAGAAGCACUUCUUUAUUCCAUUUUUAUUUUUUUUGAAAGAACUUUUUUAGUUGACGUAAUCUGAAUGGCUUUUUCUAAAUUAAAGCAUGUUUAUAGAUGCUAUUUUGGACCAUAUUAAAAGUAUGGAAGAGGAACCUAAAUGCAAUUUAGUUUGCUUUUUUGUCCACCAACUUUCCUUUAUUAAUUAAAUAAUAUACAUGUUUUCAUCAAAAAAUUAAAUAAUAUACCUUUGAUGUGGAUCUUAAAUUACAAGUAUAUGAAACCUAUUAAAAAAACUCAUCAAGUCCAUGAAGUAAGUGGACUUUAUGAUAAAAAAGAAUGAAUUAAAUAAUUUAUAUAUAGUUGUAACUUGUAAUUACUAAACUAUGAAGAAUGAGUUUAUAAGUGCAUGACCUUUGGAGCAAACCUCAUGAGUCUUGUCAAUGAAGUAGGCAAGAAUUUCCUAGCAAACAAAUAACAAACAUUUGUGCUAUUUCCAUUAUACUUGCAUGUUUGAUUCCUCAAAUUUUCCAAAAACUCACAAGUAACUUCUGGUCUCACAUAUUUAACUGGAUGGGGUCCACCCUUUGACCAGUCAACCCAAGUCAAACUUCUAUUUGUAUUACUCUUCCAAAACUUAAUGCUAACUAAAGUUGGCAAAUAAUGCUCAUCUGCAUAACAUGAGCCAUUGCAAUAUUUUCCGAAAACCGGGUAAUAUGUUCGGUCUGAUAUUACUUCUAACGCAAGAUUUCUGUCCAUUUCAAACCAUUGUGACCCUUUUCUCCAUUCUCUGAGUUUGAUUGUAGGGGACAUUUUAAUUCUAUACCGUCCGCGUCCAACUGAACUUGCCUGGUCGUAAGCCAUGACGUAGCUUUUUGUGGAGUUCAUUAGAUAAGAGUAGACUGUUGAGAAGUUGAAGAGUGGUAUGCAUGAUUCUGAUAUGAGAACGAAUCGUUGGUUUGAGAAAUCGAGAAGCGCGUUUGCUAGCAAGCGACGCUCGGCUUCAAUCAUGUUGAAUUUUCCCCAUUCUACUUUCUGCAUUAUUUGCAUAUCAGAUGAAAGUUAUGAUACAUUUUGAUACAUUUUGAAGAGUGGUAGGCACAUGAUUAUGUAUCCUCUAUCCCACAUACAAGAAUUUCAUGAAUAGGUGGUAGGAAUUUAGAUAGAGCAUAUUCCAUUGAUAACUAUUUAUCAAAUAUCAAAUAAUGAAUUUAUUAGUAACAUUUCACCAAACUUUCAACGGCUACCUAUUAUCACUUAAUAUGGUGCCUUAAUUUGGGUCUUCAUGAUCAUGACCUACCUAUUUGAAGGCUAUGACUUAAAAAAAUAAAAAAAUAAAAAAUAAAAAAAAGAGAGAGAUUCAAACUAUGAUUUAUCACAUUGUUAAAAAUGGACAAGGAUUUCGUGCUGUAAAUUCUCCCACAGUUUUAUUCUUGGCUGUUGGAUGCGUUUAUGUCACAAGACUCGCAAUUUUGUAAUCCAAUCCAAGUAACACCGACACUUCAUAUUGAAGGCACACUUGUGUGGUUUCAUAAAAAAAUUUCAAGUUUUUAUAAGUGUCAACACGCAUGUGUCAUGUUCUUUAUCGGUGUCUAUGUCGAACAAGUGAAUGUGGUGAUAACUUCCAGUUGUAUUCAUAGUUCCUAAACAUCUCUGAUCUGACUAGAACUCAGCUAACAUAGAAAUUUGUUGCAAUUACUGUUAUUACACAAUAGUUUAAUAUCUAAUCUAAUGGUUUGAUUUUCUACUAAGCAAUCUUAAUCUUCAUAAUGACAAUUUUCAUUCUUAAGUUAACCAUAUCAAGAUAAAAAAAAAAAAAAAAGCAAUUGAAGAAUAAAUUGACUAACCUUACUGGGAAUUCUCCUACCAUGAAACACAGGACUCUCCACUUCAGAACCAUUGUAAGAUGGAUUCGAGUGCACGUAAAUUGAGUAAUACCCUUUAUGCCCUUUGAAGAAUUUCUCCCACAGAGGAGCCAAAGGCACAGGACCCCUUACUAAGAACAAAAAAGCCACCUUUGGAACUCGAUCGAAAGGAUAUUCAUUUAUCUUAGGACUCAAUGAAGCUCUCCAUAACAAUUCUUCGUCGCUUAAAUCAUGUACAACUUGAGAUGGCUCGAUAAAUUUCUUCAAUCCUUCAUGACUACCAUUGAGGCUGGAAUCAAAUACUAUUGGUUGGCGUAACGGUAAAAGCGUUGUUUUUUGUGAUAAUUGAGUGAAAUGAAGAUUAAAAUUUAAGCUUUUAAGAUAGAAACUGAUGAUGAUUCCAAGUGUUAUACCACAUGCUAGAAGGAGAAGGUAAGUGAGGAAACGUAUAAGAUGAAGAUGAGAAUUGAAAUUUCUUGAAAUAGUGUUUAAUGAAUGUUGAUUAUUUGAGUUCUUCAUGUUUUUGAAAUCUAAUCUAAAGAAGAAAAAUGAAAAGAUGGAUUUUUUUGUUUUAGUAGGAUAUAUGUGGAAUAAGAAUCUUAAAAAGGUUUGAGAGAGUUUUCUUGUUAACAAAGGCUAAUGAAUGAUUAUAGGAAUACGUUUGGUAUAGGAAUGUUUAUUGGCUUUUGAAACAACUUUUAAAGUGCUUUCAAGUUAAGUUAUGAAAAAAAAAAAUUCAACAUGUUAUAAAUAAAAGGUGUAAAUAGUCAUAAAAUUGAAACUAUAACGUUAUUAUUGAAUGAAAUAAAGGAUCAACGAAAAGGGGUAGUAACGUUUUGAAAUUUAUGGUGAAGGGGGUGUGUAUAUGAGACCCAUCACAUUGAAAACUGGCGGCUUUGAAGGUUGAUGAAUUGGAGAAUUUGAGUCUCUCUUUUUCUGUCUCUCAUUAAUGCUCACUUUAAAAAAAUCUUAUGGCAACUUGUAUCAAAGGAUAAGUUGCCAACAUAGAAUUCUUAUUUGCUUGUUUUGGAAAAAGCUGAUUAAAUAAAUAAGUUCUAAAAAAGUGUAACACUACAUGCUACCUAUGGCUUAAGAGUAAACAAUCAUAUCGGUCCGUCUCUUUGUACCAAAUUUUCAAUUUGGUCCCUCAUUCUAUUAAUAAUUCAAAAUGGUCUCUGUCUUUGUCAAAUAUUUCUCAAUUAGGUCCCUCUGUUAGUAAAUCAUUUACAAAAACAAAGAUAAUUUUGAAAAACAUUUGACAAAGACAUGGACCAUUUUAAGUUAUUAAUAGAGUCGAAACCGAUUUGAGAAUUUGGUACAAGGGACCAAUUUAAUGAUUUACUCCAUAACUUAAAUUUUAAAGUUUGAAAUUAUGCACAUUUUUGUAGGUAGUAUCUGGUGGAAUUUCCACGUUGUUUAGAAAUUACAAGUCAAUGAUGGCGAGAUUAUGAGUAUGAGUCGUGGAAGACCAACUUAUGUGUAUGUGGCCAGCCAUGUUUGUGAAAGUGAUUUUCACGACUAAUGUUUUAUUGGUUAAUUAAUAAGUUAAAGCUAUUUUUCAAUGAGUUUUUGAGAACACGUAUUAGUGGGAUUAAUGACUUUUCAGCAUGAUGAGAUGAAUUUAAAAAAUAAAAUAAAAAAAUGAAUGGAUGACAUUUUAACAAUCAAAGCUCACCGGGUUGAAAAUAAUCAUACACGUGUUGGUCAUACGAAAGAAACUUAAUAAUAGGUUAACAUUAUAUUCAUAAUAAUAAUUCAAAAUAUAUAAUAUACACCCUUAAGGAAAAUGUUUGGUUCGAACCUUAUGUAAACAUGCUUGAAACUUUUAGGAGAAGACCCUAUUCAUAGAGAACUUCAUCAAAAGGCCGACUAAGUCUUGAGCUAGAAGUGUUCAUUAGUGAGAUUUUAGGUCUUCAAUGUCCCUCCUUCAUAUUCCCCAAGAACGUUGAUAAGACUUCGGUAAGGCGAAUUGAAGAAAAAUUCAAACAUUUAAACUAGUGUUGAUGAGAUUCUACUAUUUUGACCUUAUCGUCUAUCCAAAACAUGAGUCUUUGAUGAAGUGUCGAGGGAACACGUUCACUGAUAUGUAUCCAAUCUCUAUCGAGGAUUAAAGAGUAUGAAGGCUUGUCGUCAAUGAAACUUCACCUAUUAUUUAUGGUAUUGGUUCAUGAUUGCCUAGUCUAGUAUAUCAUCAGUAGUUUCUAUAAGAACAUUUAUGAUUGCUGGAAUAUUUUGGCUGACACAUCAAGAUAACUUCUUUGUUAUGGUUAGUUUUAGAAUCAGUUGGGAAAGCUUCUUCCUACUCUUUGGAAACCCGAGACAAUGAAACUUCUAUUUUACCCAUGUCUUGGACUCUAGUAAUCAAUUACAUUUUCUGUUGCAUCUUCAAAAGGUAGUGUUUCCUCUGCUACCUUCGCUUUUAUAUUCUCUGCUACCUUCGCUUUUAUAUUCUGAUGAGAUCUGAAAGUGAGAAAAAUAUAAGAAGGGUUGAAUUGUGUUGCCUUUUUCUGAAAAAUCUUUUCUAAGCUAAAAAUUAAUCUUAAAAGAUUAAAAAAGAAAGAGAGGAGAGAUAGACACAAAUAAUUUAUCCUUUUUUUUAAAGACAAAUAAUUUAUCCUUGUUCAACCCGCAAUACGGGAUUAUGUGUAAUCCUCUCACACAAGAGAGAUUUUUCAUUAUAAUCAUACAAACUUACAAUUACUUAGAAGCACAAGUUUAAGAUUUGUUACCUCAACUAGAGGAUUUUUACAAUCACAAUUUUCAAAUAUUUGAUUGAUGUUUACACUUCAGACUCAAAUAAUGGUAAACUAAAAUAAGCUCAGAGUAAUUUAUAAACACUUAAGAAAUUCUAAGAUUGAAAGCAUGCAGUUUUCUAUGUUCCUCAAAUUCUCAAGGUCCUUUUAUAGAAGAAUUGAAUAAAGUCGUUGUUUAAGAUAUUUGCUAACGUAUCACAAGAUUUCUUUACGUUUGAAAUCUUUGUCUCUAAAGAAUAAUUUUGUUGAAUAGUACUUCAAAAUUUCUUUGUUUCUUUUAGAAUGAUACAUUGCCUCCUCUUUGUCUUGUAGGAGCUUUGUCCAUUUCUGCAAUGUGGUGUUCAUUUAAAUGAGAAAGGACCAAAUGUAUUAUAGAAUUUGGAAAGUGAUGUUUGAUGGCAGAUCAUCUUAUGUUAUUCUUAGCAUGUUUGUUAGUUAAUUAUAGUAGGUUUUACCAGCAAAACAUAGGUGUAUUAGAUCAAUUGCCUAUGAUUUUUGGACAUUUAUAAUGUUUUCUAUAUUUGAGUUUGUAAUUCUAUUCUUCCCAAAACAUAGCAAUUUUAGGGUGUUCUUGAUGUAAUUCACGAAGAGAUCAAGCAAAUCAGGAAAAGCAAGACAUUCAAAGAUUUAUGUUAUCUUUGGGAAGAUGAAGAAUGAAAAUUCAAGAGGCUUCAGAAGACUUAGCAGAGGGAGAAAUUAUGUUCCAUAGUUCCAUGAAUUUUUACAUUGAAGAAAAUACCAAAACAGGCGUAGAAAACAUGCAAAAUAGCAUAGAAAACACACUAAAGCACCCAUGCGCACCACAAGGGUGCUAGGAGCUCUGGAGCUGAUACACAGAAGUGCCUGGCCCAUGCCAUGGGGUGUUAGGCGCCUCAUACUGGCAGGCACAUGCGCUAGGCGCAUGACCUUAGGUUCUAGGUGAAGCUUGCUUUGCAUGUGUUGUUGUUUUGAUGAUGUUCACUAAGACUCUUAAAAGUUGUUUAUUAUUUUUUUUGCUUUAGGUUGUAUAGCUUAAAGUUAUGUUAAUGCAUCUAGCAAUCUUUGUCCCUUUAUUGCCUUGUGUGAUUUUGUGUCUUGCAUACAAUGCUUGCAUGUAAUUAUGCAUUCCAGGCCUUUUGAAUCGAGUUAUUUUAGCUUGAAUCGACCAACCACAAGUCUCUGACUUUGAGUGAAUCGUUUCGGUGGUUUUCUAAAUCGUAUCAUGAAAUCUUUCUGACUUACCUUGAAUUGAUUUGAAGUAAUUUGAAUCGUAUCAAUCUUCAUCUUGGUGUUUUUGAAUCGACUCAGAUCUUGUGUGAUACAUUUCAAUCUUCAUGCAUCUUCAUUAUUUCGAGAUUGGUUUUUAGCUGUCCGAAUCGAUUCACACAUUUAGUGAAUCGAUUAACAUAGUUGUUCUUGGACGAAAAUUUAUACUUGCCCCGCUUUUCUAUAUAUACUCACUUCCUCAUAACCUCAUAACACCCAACUCAUUGAAUCAGUUGCAUCUAUUCUCUCUAGAGUCUCUAAACCGCAUUAUUCAUAUAUUCUUCAAGAUUAAACACUUUUUAUUAGAAUCACUUUGUUCUUUGAGUCAUAAGAUUGCUAGAGUUCUAUAUGGAUUGUAAGUUGGUUCAUUCAACAAAAUUGAUUGGGUUAAUCAAUGUUCUAAAGUGAAGUAAAUAAUCUCAUUCCACCUCUAAAGGUCUUGGGGGGUUCUUUCUAAAGUUCUUGUAUUCAAGGAGAUCUAAUUUUCGAACGGAGCAUCGAAGAGUUCGAGUGAACAACUUCAAGGGUUGCACGGGUAAUUGAAGAUUCGAAGAUAUCAAGAAGCACCGAUUUCAAAAGGUUUUGAAGAUUGGGGGAGUGAUUGCAUUGGAAUUGAAGAAUUAGGGUAGUUUCAAGGAAUUCUUGUAAUCACUUUGUAAUCAAACAUUCAAUAUUCUAGUGGAAGUCCUUGGUGGAGGCGUUUUCCAUCAAGAAGAGUGGACGUAGCCUGAAGCGGGGACGAAAGGGUGAACUACUACAAAUCUCGGUGUUUUCUCUCUUUUCUAUACUCUUUAAUGUUGAUUAAUUCUGUAUUUGAAGCUUGAUAAAUUGAUAGUGUAGAAAUUAAGUGUGAUCUAGUAUAAUUGAUUCAUUGAUAAUUUAUUAAACACUUGUACAAUUGUGUUAAUUAGUAUAAUUAAUUAAUUGUUUUUAAGUUUGGUUUGAGAUUGUGCUUUUUGUAUUUUGUAUGAAUUGUGUUAAUAUUGGAUUGUAUUAAGAUUUCUUAGAAUCUCUCAAUUCAAAGUAAAUCUUAGCUUGAACAUAGUCUUGUUAUUUUUUAUCAUUGUUAUUAAACCUUACAUAAUCCGAUAAGUUGCAAUAUGCCUUUACUAAAAACGCUUUGACUACAAACUCGAUUUAAAUUUUAUAAUGUUAUUCACUCCCUGUUUACCGGUGUUUUUUUUGUUAUUACAAGCAUGAUCAAACUAGAAAUCCUAGGACAUUUUGUGCAAAGUUUUUCCAAAAAAGUGAGUGAGUGUUUAUCAGAUUCAUAGGUUGUUCUAUGAACAAGACGAAUUUGUGGUGUCUUUCGACAAAAAAAAAAGUAAAGAAAAAUGCAAGUAAAAGACGUUAAAAGGUUAAAACGGAGAAACUUAAAGAAAAGGUAAAUUGCAUUGCAUUAAUAUAAAGGUGAUUCGACAAAUCAGAUUACAAAAAUUAUGACUGACUCUUUUCUCUAGACACAGGUACUUCUAUUGCUAGAAUUCUAUAAGUGAUUUGUCCUCUGGAAUUAAUGUAUGAAUGCUUGAGUAAAACAAGUGCUCCUCUAGUCUAUGAACAAUUAUUAGUUUAAACCUUAUGCAAAUUGAUUGGAAAUUAACAUGAAUUCAUCUUCUGAGUUUGUUCCCAAUUUUCUAUUCAUAUUCAAAUCAUAAUUCCUUAGGCAGUAAAACCUUUAGUUAAAUAAAUACUAUAUUCCUUUCACAAUAUUAGUCGUUUAAGGCUUGUACAAGAUUAUUAAGGAAGCGAUUAAUUGUGUUGAUUUCAAUAGUAAAAUUAAUAGUAUUUAUUAAAACACCCUUAUUAAUUGUAGUUAAUGGAGUAGUUAGAUUGGAUGAAAUUCAAUAAAUAAGGGUAUAAUAGUGAGAGAGAAAAAACGUUGCAUUGAUAUUGUUAAGUAGGGAUUUGAAGUUACAACAUCCAAGAAUGAUUUGCUGGCUUGAAAUAUAUUGUUUGAUUCACUUUUAUCCAAAUAUAAAUCAUUUCAAUUUCGACUCACCACUUCAAAUCGAAAUGAAUUUUAUAAGUAAAACACAUAGAAGUUGUUUUCUUUUAUGGACGCCUCUAUUGGGGAUAUUGAUCGUUUCGUUUCACAAAAUGAUCUCUCAUAUAUUACAUACCAUCUAUUUGAACACUAGAUUAACCUCUUUUGCUUGUGGAUUGUGUUUUGUGCUUUAUACAUGGUUACUAGAUUGGAUGUAGGUCUAUUUUUGUUGUUUGAUGGUACUUUUUUAUUGGUUACUACUUCUCUUUUGCUCCGCACAUCUAAAUGUUGGUGUAAGAUUUUAAUCCGACAACAACCUUAAUCGUAAGUAGUGAGGUAUUGAGAUUACGUCAAUUUGUGAUAGCCACAUAGGUCUCUAUUUGAAGUCAAUUUUGUUUUCUUAUGUAUUAUAAGAUGUUGGUAAUGUCAAUUAAUUGCUUGUUGGUACUAAUACUACUACUAUGUAACAAAAAUGGAAACAAAGUUAAAGGGCAUUGCCAACAUAAAGCAAUACCCAUAAGCUUUUGUUUUACCAUAUGAUGAUUAUUAAUUGAUGUCGAACAUGAUUAUGAGUGCAAGAAGUGCUCAAUGUUAAAUUCAUUAUGUUUUCAGUGUUAUACUUUUUUUUUAAUUAAAGUAUUAUAAUUGGAAAAUAACUGAAACGUAAAAAUUUCUUAUUACUUUUCCAGUUGCAUGCAUUCAAAUAUAUAAUUAUAACUUCCAAAUAUAAAAAUAUGAUACUCCAUCCGAUCAUAUUAUCAAUGAAGUUUCUUGCAUUUAACAAAAAUACUAUGACAUAUUGUGCAAUCUUUUUCCAGAAAAUGUAUGAAUGUUCAUCAUAUUCAUGAAGAAAACUGUUCGUAGGAUGAAGAUAAAUUGUCUUUCGUUGAAAAUCAGAAGUAUGAAACAAGUAAAAAAACUUAAAGUUUUAAAGGCAAAUAAACUUGAAGAAAAGUAAAUUGCAUUGCAAAUAAACUUAAAGUUAUAAAGCAUAUGGGUAUCUUCAUACUUAAAGAAGUAUUAAGAUAAAUCGCCAACGCUUUACGAUCAAAUGUAAUUCACUAGCAGGCACAUGUUGGAUUCCUACAUGUAGUUGACAUUCUUGACAUCUUUUCGCAAACGAUUUACCUACUCUGUUGUGUAGUAUUGGAUUCGACAUCAUAUGCUUGAUUAUGUCAAAGUGGGAAUGAACAUAAACAUCGACAAGCUUUAUAUAUUGCUAAAGCUUAGUACAUGAAAAGUACAAACAAAGGCACAAUUUUUCACUGGGAUGAUACCUUGUUUUAGCAUUAUUCAGAACCCUACUAAGAUAAUAAAUGGCUCUUUCUACGCCAUUUUCAUCUUCUUGUGCAGCAUCGUUCCUAUAGUAUUAUCUGAAGCAGCUAUAUACAAUUUCAUUACUUUAUCCCUAAGAGGAGGUAACAAAAUAGGAGGGUUCAUCAAGUAAGCCUUGAUGUCAUCGAAUGCUUUUUGAUGUUCUGGUUCCCAUUUAAAAACAUCUUUCUUCAGUCACAGUAGUGGUGAGAAAACUUCAAAUCUGCCACUUAGAUUCGAAAUGAAUCUUCUGAGAAAGUUAAUUUUUCCCAACAAAGAUUGAAGCUCUUUAUUUGUCGAAGGCGGUUUUGUCUCCAAAAUUUCCUUUGUUUUGUUUUGAUUAAUUUCAAUGCCUUUUUUGUGCACAACAAAACCUAAGAAGUCGCAUGCACGCACACCAAAAGCACAUUUCAAUGGAUUCAUUUUCAAUCCAUAUUUUCUCAUUCUUUCGAACGAUCUUUGAAGGUGAUCUAAAUGAUCUUUCUGAAUAGAUGAUUUAACAAUAA